UUUUUUUUUUUUUUUUUUUUGUGUGCUUGUUGGACAUCAUUUAAUCUCAUUAACACAAGCAAAGCAGAGGCUGAGCAUUAACCCAAGUUUCCAAGUAUUUCUUCUUCCAUGGCCAAGCUUAAUACUACCAAAAUCUAAUUCAACCGGCAGGAAUAUCAAUUAGAUGAUCAUGAAACCCUAUUCAACUUUUAUUAUACACUCCCGAUUCCCCUAUCGGCUUGAAGUCUUUCUUAAGAAAAAGAAAAAGAAAACAAACCAGGCUUAAUUUGUUUGAUGAAACCAUAAAGCUCAAGCAUAAGCUAUAUAUUUCGGAGAAAAUAAUAGUUUGGCUCCCGCGCUAGAUGUACGAAAACAAAAAAUGCACGAGCUAACAAAAAGUCAUUGGAGCCACCAGCCCACCACCAAGAACUUAAGUGACAUAAGUUGUCGGCAAUGUGGAAGGUUAAGAGUUCAAUUCUUACCUCCCAUCAAAUUUGUCACUAUAUAUCGCUGCCUUCAGUGGCUUUCUCUAAUGGUGAUUUAACUUCCACAGACUCUCUCUCCCCUUAGAUUAGGAUAGAUUAUAUUAUAGAAAUAUUAUCAUUGUAAUAAAAAAAAAAAACAGAAAGUCAUUGGCAACCCGCCAAUUAAAGAACGUGCGUAACUAAUUUAUCCGUUAAUAACAAAAUGAAAAGUCAAAAUACACGUUAUACAAUCCACAUGGUUUCAUCUGAUGAUGACAAAUGCAUUAAGUGCUACACAUGUUUCGUGUAACGCGAACAAAGUUUCCUAAAGGUUUCACCAAAGUUUCUGCUUGACAUCAUGGAAUAUGCCCAUUGGCAGCAACCAAAUUUUUAUAUUAAAAAUUUUAUAUUUGCGAAUAAAAUCAAAAAAUGGACCAAGUUACUCAAUUUGAGCUCGAAUUGCUAAGAGAUCAUUGAGUUUGGUCCGUCAGCUAAAUUCGAACCAAGCUCGACUCGCUUAGCAUAUAUAAUGGAGCCUUUGAGAUGUACAUGUAUAAAACUCAAUCAAACUUAGCUUGAUUAAUGAAUAAGUCAAAUUUAAAUACAAUUUUAAACUCCUUAACACAGAUAGACAAGCUUGAGCAUUUGAUUGCUAAUUAGACUCAUUCACACUUCUGUUUCUGAUUUAAGAUUUUUGAAAAUUUUCUGAGAUAAAAGUAAACUAUAAAAAACAUUUCUACAUGAUAUCAAAUUCUCAAGCUUGGGGGCAAGUAAUUUAUAUUAUAAUAACUUCUUACGGUUAAAUUAUUAAUAUAAAUAAAAAUUUUAAAAUUCAUAGAGGGCAAAUGAAAUUGUCAAAUUUGAGAUUGUGUGCAUUGAAUAAUCCGUUGGUCAUGUGAAUGUAAUGUUGUUCAAAAACACAAGAAUUUCCAAGUGUAGAAGUGGAAUAUUAGUCGGCGACAAAUACAACAUCGUGGCUCGAUUGUGACCUGAACUCAUGUUAUAUUAUUUUUGUUAUCCAUUAAAUUUUACGACCAGGCAAGUGUGAAAUGAGGUCCCGAAUCGUAGGAAAGCUCCAAGAGUAAGCAAGAAUUAGACUUGGAUAAAAAGCCACAUCCUAAAAGCUAUGAAUUAAACACGAAGCUUCGGCUUAGAAAAGGUCACCGCGUAACUUGAACCGGCGUUCCACUCCUCCCCUGCCGCUUAUUACUAUAGAUAGAUUGGUACGCAUAUUAUUAUCAUUUUUAUUUAUUAAAUUGAAUGAUAAAACAAAUUAUGGAAGCACAAAUAAUUAAAAAAUGGUGUGUAAAUAAUAUUUUUCAAAAUAAAUAAUUCUAACCGACUUCUACUUGUGCAGUUGUGCUUGUGCUCUAAGGGUUUGAAAAUAGCCAAAUACAGAAAGAUAGCUAUAUUUGGAUAGCAAAUUUUUCCAAAAAAAUUUUUGCUAGCAUCAUAAGCGUAUUUCUCAAUUCACCUUUUUAUAUUCUCAACCGCCUUUUUAUCUCACAUACAUCAUAUCACAAAAAUAUAUUUGCUGAUCAUAACACUCUUCUAUAUGUGUUUGGAAAAUGUUAGAUUGUUUGGGAGAAUUUUUUUGAAAAAGUACCGUAAUACUUUUUCAGUGUAAUAUAUGUGAGAUAAAAAAAAUGGUCGAAAAAUAUAUUAAUCAUUCGAGCAAAUAAUCUCUAUAUUAUAUAUACUGAUAGUGUAUACGCUAUCAUCAUUGAAUCUAUGAUAUACAUGCAAAAGCUAGAGUUCAAAUUCAAAUUUUACAUAAUUAUCAUUCAUCCAAAACUGACAAUAUAUACAUUAUUAAAUGUAGGAAAGAUUAGAGUCCAUUUGGAUUGCUAUUUUUAGGAUUUUUUUUUUGUCAAAAAAUAUACUAUAGUAAUUUGGUAUAUAUAAGAUAAAAAAAUAACUGAAAAAUAUAUUUAUGAAAACAUAAAAAUUUUUCUCCCGAAAAUCACAGUCCAGAAUCUUCUUCCAAACAACACAGAAGUACAUGAAGAAUACAGAGAAUGUCAUUCAUGGUACCAAGGAAAACUCCCAGAAAGUAAAAAAAAAAAAAGUCAAGCAGUCAACCAAUACCUUCAUUCCACGCGUUCUAGGUGGAAGUAAGUAGCAGUCCUAAGUGUUGGCCUGUGAUUAAUCUAUCCAAAUUUUUUCACAAAAAAAAAAAAAAAAAAUGAAGAAGUACUCUUUAGACUUGAGACUUUCCCAGUCCCCACGCGGCCACACUCGUCAGUUAAUUGAAGAUAAAUCUGCCAAAGGUUCUAGAUUUGUUAAACAAACCCCUGAAGGAAAACUAUUACUCUACUGUAGUUUUCCCAGCCACCGACUCAGACCGUUACCUACCUUAUUAGUUUCCAGUUGUAGUCAGCAACCAAAACCUGACGGCUACUCAUUUUACAUUUUUUCCCUUUGAGGCAGGAUAUUUUUUUUUUACCAUAAGCCCGAAGACUUUUCGAGGCAGGAUAUUUGAUUCACACAUAAACACACACACACACACACACACACACACACACACACACACACACAUAUAUAUAUAUAUAUUAUAUAAUAAUAAUAAUACAGUACUAACAAGCUUACUAGAUACACAUUGAUUUCUUAGUUUACAAGGAAACAAUAAAGGGAUCAUGGGAAAGUAUGCAGAAAAUUCACUCCCUCAACUUCAUCACAUACGUACUGCAAUUUCAGUUGUCCACUCCUGCUUUUGUCAUCAACUACUAGAAGCCUACUGCCUUGUAUAUAUAUAACACAACUUCAAACUAUACUCGUCAUAACUUUUAUUAGUCCUGCUUCUGCCAGGGGAAUAUAUGUAUCAUUAGACCUACUCAGUUUCUUGAGCACAUAAAUUAGUACCGCUAUACUAGAUGACCGUAAAGAGAAGCAGAGAAGACAGGAAGGUUGAGGCAUUCGCCAUGGCCAAUUGCUUGAUGCUCCUCUCUAACAUGGCCAAACACUACUUCCUCUCCUCCGUCGUUGGACGCGAGUUUUCACUUGCAAAACGUGUAACAAGCAGUUUUCAUCGUUCCAGGCGCUCGGGGGCCACCGGGCUAGCCACAAAAGGACUAGACUGGUGGCUGCAGAUGGCCUUCAUGAUCAGAAUCACUCACCUGCUAAGCCAAAGACGCAUGAAUGCUCCAUCUGUGGCCUUGAGUUCCCUUUAGGCCAAGCUCUAGGAGGGCAUAUGACGACAGACCACCGUAAUGAUGGUACAGCCGGUGAUAAAUCCGAAGAAACACAGUCAGGUUUCAGAAAUCCAAUAGCCAUAGCGAUAGUCAUAGAGCUUUGCUGUUAGAUUUGAACUUAACCCUCGUGAGAAUGAAUUCAAGUUUGGUAGGUUGGAUUCUUUUAUGUAAAAUUUCCUAACUUUUUCUAGUCAUCGGAGUAGUUCUUUCCCCUUUUUAAUUUUGGAUGCAGCUCUUGUUCAUUCAUUCUCGACACAUGUAUAUACAUACAGAGGCGUAUAGAGAGCUAUUAUUCUGGUGUAGUGGAUACAGUAGACAGUUUGUUUUCUUGUCUGGUGGGGAAUAGCAUUAUCGACUCUUUAUUCUCGAAUCAGACCGAUACUUCUUGAAGUCCUCUAUUUAAUAUUGUUCUUCAAGGGCAGUGCAAAAUACUGAAAACAUCAAUUUCUAUCUUUGUCAAGACUGACUGAAACUGAUGUUGCCACAAUCCAAGAAACUGAAAUUCGAUGACAUAUUUCAAGGAACUCAAAUGAUAUCCAUAAAACAAACAUGGUGUCCCACAAAAUUUUAGCAUCAAAUCGUCGAAUUUCAAGAGCUGAUUUUUAUCUUUAUGGUAAACUACAACUCCUCCCAGUGCUGGGAAGUACAUCUGAUCGAUACACAGAAUCCCAGACACUUUCUUGCUGUUGGAUGACUUGUAACAAGUUCUGUGCUAGCCCCUGAAGGGAGAAAUUUGAACAACAGAAAAUUACUUACAAUUACAUAAGAAUCUCAAUAGCGUAACCAGCAACAACAAAAUUCCCCAAAUGCUUCACAUUGGGCUUGGCAGGCAGGAAUUAUUACGACUUAGGCAAUGCAUCGCUUGAGAAGAACGAUCCUGGUUCAAACUUCAUACGCCUCCUUCUUCGGAAAUUUCUUGGACCAUUUUUCAUGGCAACAUCAUCAUGGUUCCAAUUCCACGUAUUUAAGAAAGAACGAGCCAUUUACUUCUAAGAAAGAAGCCAAGCUUCAGUAAUCGAUAAUUUGACAUCCCAAAUUCUCAGCAGUUUGGGUUGGUAUAAAUUCUUUUUCUUGCUGCAGCCGUUGUAGCCUCUGUUGUUGAUGCAUGUAGUAUGCAUAUGCCUGACAUUUUGGAUCAAGAUUUGCAUAGCAAUGCAUAUGAGAGUGGCCUAGUUGCUCCACGAUUUUCUGCUACACAAGUUUUCACAGAACACGGAAACAAGGGAAACGAAGAUAACAAGUUCAAGUUUUUGACGAAAAAAAAUGAAGAAAAAUAGAAAAAUUAAUAUUUUCGCAGAGCUUGAUUGCAUAUGCACACGAGACAGUGCAUGCCCAAAUUCUCCACAUUGGGCUUGGCGGGCAGAAAUUACUACGGCUUAGGCAAUUCAUCGCUUGAGAAGAACGAUCCUGGUUCAAACUUCAUCCGCCUCCUUCUUCCGAAGUUUCUUGGACCAGUAUUCUUGGCAACAUCAUCAUGGUUCCAAUUCCAAUUCCACGUAGUUAAGAACGAGUCAUCUACUUCUAAGAAAGAAGUCAAUCUCCGGUAAUCGAUAAUUGGAUGUCCCAAAUUCUGAGCAGUCUGGGUUCGCACAAAUUCUUUUUCUUGCUGCAGCCGUUGUAGUUUCUGUUGUUGAUGCAUGUAGUAUGCAUAUGCCUGAGUGUUUGGAUCAAGAUUUGCAUAGUAAGGCACAUGAGAGUAGCCUGGUUGCUCCAUGAUUUUCUGUUAACGCAAGUUUUCACAGAACACGGAAACAAGGGAAACGAAGCAAACAAGUUCAAGUUUUUCGCAGAGCUUGAUUGUAUAUAAAGUUACAGAUGCACGAGACGAUGCCUCUCAUUUCGAUAUGAAUGUGAUCAGGAAUCUUGCAACUAUGGAAUUUGCCAAAAUUUGUGUACUUUCCUAAAGCCGGGGCGAUCUCACGGCCCAUUAGGCCCAGAUUAACUUCUAAUCACAUUAUUAGAAACACCUAACCUAAUACAUGAAUUUCAUACAGAAAUUGGAUUAAUUGUCGAUUGUUGCCCCCUUCUAUUAAAAAUGAAUUUUUAGCGGCUUCAUCCAUCCCUGCCCUGUUGGAUUAGUUUUCAUACAAAAUCGGAUUAAUUGGGAAAAAAAUGGUGGUGGGGGAGCACUUGAGAUUCUCGGUGACAUGUUUUCUAUGCCAACCCAAUGCCACCAAUAAUAUUGUGCCAAGUGUCAUGUUAUUGGGUGCUACUCGCAUCGAAUCGGAAGAGGAGGACGAGGAUGGGGUAGAAAUGGGUUGGCAAGACAGGAGCGGGGAGGAUAAAAAAAUUUUAAAAAAAAAAUAUCUCAAUGAAGUGUUAAAACUUUAAAAUACUCUUACAAUAAAAAGUUUUUUUCAAUAUACAAAGUGAAAGUAAUUUGUUUUUAAAAUGCAUCUCUAAAAAUAUUUCCGUGCUAAUCUUUAUUUAUUUUUUACAAGGAUAGCCACGGGCUCAUCAGCAUGAAUCAUAAUUUUUCAUGAAAAAAUUAUUAUAACAAUUUGAUGUAUGUGAAAGAAAAAAAUUAUAGAAAAAUAUGAUCACGAAAAAUAAUGUAAUUUUCUGAUGAAAAAUUGCAAUCCAAACGAGGCCCGUUUCCUGGUUUUGGGAGAGUUAUUUCCAGGUUUGCUUGCUUGAGGCUAAAACUUUUCUCGCCACAAGUGAAAGUUUGAAAAAUCUUACAUGUGAUCAUUCUAUGAAUACCUUCCAUCGUUUACCUUUUUUGGUCCUAGCAUAUCAAUUGACACGUGUUGAGUAGCGUGAGAGCAAGAAGGGAUCGGAUAGAAUUUGACGGGUCGAGCUUCCAACCUGCAAUGACAGCACAACAAUUAGGGCUGAAUGGGCAAUGACUUCGACGUCAAAGUCAAACGAUGAAGAGUUUGGGAGUUGAAAGAUGAGCCCGGAAGCCGCUGAUGAGAAGUUGUCUGUGGGUGUGAGCACCGAUCUCGCAAAUCGAAAAUGGCAUGACAGCCAUAGGGUCAGACCCUAGGCGCGUAGUAUCUGUAUCUGCCAAGUGUCAGAUUUGGUGUCAAAUGCGGGUGUUGGUCACGUGCUUACGUAAAACGGUUCAGUCGGUCUGAGCACAUCCAAGACUUCGAUAACCGCUUCUAGAACCGGAGGUGGCGACUGAGUGGUUCCAUAAGUAGUACGUUGUUGGCCUAUUUCACAAAUUUUUCAAAUACAAAGUGAUAGGAAUAUACAAACAAAAAUAAUUUUAAAGACACCUAAUUCAUGCAGUGCCUCAAAAAAUAACUUAUAAAUAUACAAAAUAAAAAAAAAUUCUUCCACCUACCACCACCAUCACCACGCCCUCCCUCCUCCUUCUCCCUCUUCUUCCUCCUCCUCGUUCCCUCCCUUCCUUCACUCCGCCAAAUCUAACCUCGACCAAAUCUCAACAAAAAGGUGGCAAAAAUACUCCAAAAUAUAUCCCAAAAACACCUGUAAAAAUACCACCAAAAAUAUCUAUAUCAUCUACAAUAAAAGUUUUUCAUAUAUAUUAUUACAAUAAAAUUUUUCAAAAUUACGUCUAAAAACAAUUAAUCCAUUAAUUGAAAUCUAAUGAAUUUUAAUCACAAUUUGUUGUUUUAAAAAAAAAAUUUCCACAAUAAAAUACUAGACUUUUCAAAUAUCUUAAUAUAAUAUACAUCUUGCACACCUAAUCAACAAGCAAGUUCCUAUGGCGUUUGGCGUUGGCCAGAAAAAUGUAGUCCCUGAUGGGACAAAUCUGAAUACAACAAACCACACGAGAAUAGAAACAAGAGUAGUUCUACAAGUAAGUUACAUAUACGCAAGUCAGUCAAAUGACUCUCGUGAAUUCAUUUUGUGAGAACAACAAGAGCUUAAUUUAUUUACGUAUGCAACUUUAAGUUUCAUCAGUGGUCCGCUAUUGCUCUUUGCACAAAUAUAUUUGGAUGAUGUAAUGAUAAAUACUUGAAAAUGCUGAGCCGGCCGGCCGUGUACUUCAAAAUUUGGAUGACGUAUGGAUAUAGCAACUAGCAACCACUUAAAAUACUACUACUGAAUUUUGCUAAUUUCCCACAAGGACCGAACUGAGCUUAUGUUAGAUAUAAUUUCGCUAGCAAAUCAAAAGUGGGUUCAAGAAGUCACUUCUGAUCAGAAACUUUUCUUUGAUGAAGAGAAGUAUUUCCCAUCAAGGUUUUCGACAUUUACCUUUUUGUUUUAUUAAUAUUAGUUGUCAUUUUCGUCAAUUGGUGCAGCUGAUGCAAUAGCUGAUAUGGUCAACUUCUCACCAUCCUACAACGACGACGUAUGUGGAUUUGAACUGUCAAAAGCAAGCACAACAAAUGGGAUAGUUUCAACUGUCAAAUCAUGUACCAGUUACUACUACUUAUACUAUCACGUAGAAACCGGAAAUAUAUUGGCUAAUUUAAUGAACUCAUGAGAUAUUGGUUAUAGAAUGUUCAUGAUAUAUUGGUUAUAGAAUGUUCGUAGGUACCUGGAAUGUGGGAGGGAAACCAGCAGAGGUUGGAGUGGAUUUGAAAGAUUGGACACAAGCACAUAAUAUCCCUCCUGAUUUAUAUAUUUUUGGGUACGCACUCCUUUUGCUUCUUAUUACUGUUCCCUCCCCCAAAGUUGCUUUAAGAGGAUCUCUUAUGUGAACAAAUCUUUGACUUCAUUCUUGCUUAUGAGCAUUAUCCUGUUUCACCAGUUUCAAAUUUAUCAGUUUCAGCAGUAAGCCUUACUGCAGGAACGUAAAACUGCAGCAGCUUUUUAUAGUAACAUGUGCACUUCAUAUUCCCAUAAGGUACACCUAAUCUGCAUUUAGCAAGAAAACAGAUUUAGUUCCAUACUAGCGAAUCCCUGCUUCGUCCCAGAAGGAUUACACAAGGUGGCCAUGCUUGUGAAAUGUGGAAUCCAGCAAUUUGUGUUCCCUGGAGGAUAGGAGAAAUGCACUAAAAUUUGGUGGAGGGGAAUUUUCAUAUUGAUGAAACAGUUUGAUUCCCAUUUUCUUGUACUAGCAUAGUGAGUACUAUGUAAUUUAAAUUUUCCACGAGAAAGAUUUGUCCACUCACACGCAAAUAAUUCUCCCCUUUAGGUUCCAGGAAAUCGUGCCUCUAAAUGCAGCUAAUGUCUUGGGUGUAGAGGAUGGCAAUCCUGCUGCAAAUUAAGUGGCUGUCCCUAGUUCGCCAGGUUCUAGAUAGUGGUGGGCAAGGAGACCAGGAUGCCGGCCACAACAUUAAAAGCGUAAACAAUUUGUGUCCUAAAUAUGGCCGAAUAGCUGGUGAUAAAUCCAGAAUCUGUUCUUCAGAUAUGUUGUUCCUGAAUGAAUCUAGUCAAAUUAAGCAACAAAGUUCAAGUCCCAAGACAAUUAGCGGGGGCGAACCAGUAUAUAUAUUGUUUGGCAGCCAGCUAGCAGAUGGUUGGCAUAUUGUUAUGUGUAUGGGUUCGAGCUGAAAUUUACCAGCAAGUAACCAACUUAAAGGUAUCUUGCGUGGGUACAGGCAUCAUGGGUUACAUGGGCAACAAGGUUAGCAUAUGCAGUCGAUGCACUUUCUUGCUGAUGAAUAAUGUAAUAACAAAAGAAAGAAAGCAGUUUUGGACCAAGGUAUCCAAGGCAAAAUGGUACUUCUCAAUCACAUCACUAACUUGAACAGCCUCUUAAUUGGCAAUUUGCAGGGAUCUGUGUCUAUCACUAUGACACUGUAUCACACCUCUUUCUGCUUCGUUUGCACACAUUUGGCCUCUGGUGAGAAAGAAAAUGACAGAAUCCAUGAUGUUUUGGAAAUUCUUUGUAGGACAAAUUUUUUGCUCUCCCGAAAGAGUCUUGAAAAACCAUCCUUUCCCGGCCAUAUAUUGGAACAUGAGUAAGUAUUUAUCUUGUGUACGACAAAUAAGCAUACGGUACAGUAGUUUUUCCUGCAAUUUUCCUGAUGUUUUUGUGUGGUGGGAAUUGGUUAUUGUUCGUUGCUGCAAUAUCUUUUGGGUUGGGGAUCUGAAUUACAGAUUGGCAUCUGGCUAUGAUGAUACUCCUGAACUGCUGAAAAAACAUGAAUGGCAGUCCCUUCUUGAAAGAGAUCAGAUGACAAAUUAGAGUGGACUUCGGAAUGUCUAAUUAUCCUCUUCUUAAUUUCUGUUUGAAUCUUGAAUAAGCUUAUCAGUUGGACUGGACUUGCAAUUCUGAUAGCGUUUGCGGUGGCAUUGACAGCUUUUAGUCGAACAGAGAGUUGGAUGAGUUAUUGAAAGAUGGCAAGAGGGACAGAUACAUUUUCUCCCACAUACAAGCAUCUCAUCAACUCUGACACAUUACGUGAAUCAGAUCUUUAAACAUAAGCAAAAAACUCCCUCUCCGCCUGGCAAGUAUUCUAGCCUCUCUAGUCAAUUUUCGUUGAUUUCCUCCAUUGCAUCUUCUGAUAAUUGUUUUCAUUGAUAUCAAGUAAUGGACAGAGUAUUGCUAUUAGUCAAAUUGACAAAGUUAGAGAAAUGUAUCAAAAAGGUGAACCUCCACUGAGAACAAAGCACGGAUACUGGAAGAGUCAUCUUCGAAGGACGAAAUCAUUUGCCACAAAACUAUAUCACAAAUUGGCAUUUGUGCCUUUGUGUGACAUCCUUUCUAUCUGUCACGCUAGUUACGGGACAAGUAAAAUAUGUUCAUGCUAAUGAGAAGAUAAAUUGGCGCACGGCAGUCCCUUCUUGAAAGAGAUCAGAUGACAAAUUAGAGUGGACUUCGGAAUGUCUAUUAUCCUCUUCUUAAUUUCUGUUUGAAUCUUGAAUAAGCUUAUCAGUUGGACUGGACUUGCAAUUCUGAUAGCGUUUGGGUGGCAUUGACAGCUUUUAGUCGAACAGAGAGUUGGAUGAGUUAUUGAAAGAUGGCAAGAGGGACAGAUACAUUUUGCUCCCACAUACAAGCAUCUCAUCAACUCUGACCAUUACGUGAAUCAGAUCUUUAAACAUAAGCAAAAAAACUCCCUCUCCCGCCUGGCAAGUAUUCUAGCCUCUCUAGUCAAUUUUCGUUGAUUUCCUCCAUUGCAUCUUCUGAUAAUUGUUUUCAUUGAUAUCAAGUAAUGGACAGAGUAUUGCUAUUAGUCAAAUUGACAAAGUUAGAGAAAUGUAUCAAAAAAGGUGAACCCUCCACUGAGAACAAAGCACGGAUACUGGAAGAGUCAUCUUCGAAGGACGAAAUCAUUUGCACAAAACUAUAUCACAAAUUGGCAUUUGUGCCUUUGUGGUGACAUCCUUUCUAUCUGUCACGCUAGUUACGGGGACAAGUAAAAUAUGUUCAUGCUAAUGAGAAGAUAAAUUGCGCACUUUUUGUGAUUGGCUAGCUGUGACUGGAUACUAUGGCGAGGUAAAGGAAUGAAGCAGAUAAUUUAUGCAAGGGCAGAAUCAAGAUUCUCGGACCAUAGGCCUGUUUAUUUUAUCUUCUCCUCUGAAAUCGAUACAUGAAGCGCAUCCACAACACACAAGAUCAAAUCCAGCAGGACUUUUAGCUUCGAUUGUGAUGAUAAGUGCUUCAUAAUGCUCAAACAUCUAACCUGGAGGCCGGAGAUUAGUCACUAGCUAGGUAGAGGAACGAUCAAUUUCUUACAGAUCAAAGAAGCUGCUCUUAAGAAACUUAGUGGUUAACAAGGUUUAAUAGAAGAUGAAGAUGGUAUAAAUUAGUGCAAAUGUUUGAAAGAAUGCAGAAAUGAUAUUGCUCUAUCAGCAAUCAAAGCAAGAUGAGUGAUUUGCUGAGGACGGUCAGUCAUUGAGGGUAAACAUCUCCAUACCUAAUGCCAAAGUUGAUUUCCAGCUCGUCCUUGACUCAAACUUCAUUUUACUAUUUUUUAAGAAAGGGAUCUAUUCCUAUCUGUAUCACAAUCGCUUUGACUCAAUCCGUUCUCAAGCUAUGCACUGGCCAUGUGCAGUCGGACUCCAUGCAACAUAAGUUGGAAAUGAAAUUGAUCGCAAGCUCAUGCCCCUUGUGCUCGUUUUUUAUUGAGCACAUUUUUUUUUUUUUGGUAAAUAAUGAUCCAGCAUAGAUUAAAUUGUAAACUAGUUAAUUACAAUAUUCUAGGGAACCAUACUCUCCUCAAAUCCUCCAACAAAAUGGAACUUAAAAAGAGGGCGCCACUAGUCUACAAAUGAGGAAAAGGAUGACAAGUUUUCAUCCCAUAUUUUUGCUAAGAAAUCCGCUGCCCUGUUACCUUCUCUAUAUUAUAUAUGUGCUUCUAACUUCACUUCCAUAAAGCUAGAAAUGAAGGCCCUGCCUGUCACACAGAAUUGAGGAUGCUUCAUGGAGAGUUGGAUUGUAAUAAACGGCACCUAUAUAUGGAGAGUUGGCUAAGGGAACAGGACUUAGCUGCCUUGUGCAUAUAUGGUUUACUAGGGCAUAAUCAUGGAUUGCAUCUUAUAAUCUGUAUACAAAACUGUUCUUGCUAUUGUAGUAAGGCACGCUAAAGCAACACACGCCUUGAUCAACAAAACCUUUAUGAAAAGCUACAGAGUUCGUCAACUAUUUUGUUCCGACUUAGAUACACUAUUAUAUACGCGGCUUGCGUGCCAUGCCAUCAUGCAUCAUCAAGAAAUGUUUUGUCAUUGACUUUUCUUUUCUAAUUUGUUUGAGUUAUCUUGUUUUGUGAACAUUGGUGUCUUCUUUUGUUCUCCUGUGACUUGAUUCAUGCCUUCUUUCCUUUCCGUGUAAAAGAUGCCUGGGUAUGAUGCAAUAUUGAACUUAUCUUGAUUUGAACAAUUAAUUCUUCUGCUUUCGAGGUUUUUGACUAGAAAAGUAGAGCCCAUAACGAAUUAACGAUUAUUCACAAAAUUUAUAAUAAUAAUAAUAAUAAAAGAAUCCAAAAGCUACACAUAGUUGAUGAUCCAAGGCUUCAAAGUGCUGACUUUGAUAUGGCUUUGCCGUUAAUUAACAUUCUAUACGUUCGGGAUGACGGUCUGUCCCAUCAGUAUGACGAGAUGUGUGCUGUUCUACAUGUGUUCUUGUUCUUGACAAAUUAGUCAUCACGUGAUGAAGUCAAAAGCUUUUAUCCAUGGAACUCUAGAAACUUUUGUCCAUCAAAUUCUGUGGUCUCAUCCGAGAAACAAAAGAUUUAGUAGAAUCUAGUCCGUCAGCUUUAUGAGGUAAUAAGAAAUACCAUACUUUGAUUAAGUCGUUUUAAGAACAGAACUAUCUCUAUAUAUUUGCUUAUGGCAAAACUUCCCUCUUCAAAAGAGAUUCGUUUAACCUCCACUUUCUUCACACACUUUCUGUUCUUUCGCAGCAAACAUAAUAUUUUUUCCCUCGCACUUGUCUGUCAAUAAUCAAUCAAUCAAUAUACAGCAGAAGCAGUUUUGGUUUCUCUUUUUCAUAGGAAUACUAGGCGUUCCAAUGGAGCUGAUUCCUGGCCUUCCAAAUGAUGUAGCCAUCGAGUGCCUUAUUCGAGUCCCAUUCAGCCAAAUAUCAAAGGCUGCAUCUGUUUCCAAGAAUUGGAAGGCAGAAAUUCAGCUGCCAGAAUUUCGGCAGCGAAGGAAGGCUGCUGGAUUUACCCAACCCCUCAUCGCGAUGACACGAGCAGAUAGCAACCUGAAUGAGCAUAUCCGCGAUGAUGAUGACGGCGGUGCUAGACGCUUACAUCAUUACCUGCUCAAAAUCUGUGAUCCUGAACGACGCUUUUCGUACGAGGUGCCUUCGAUCCCAGGACUCUCCAAGGGUGUGCCGAUGUUUUGCCAAGUUGCAGGAGUCGGGACAAACCUGGUAGUGAUUGGCGGGUAUGACCCGGUUUCUUGGAAAACCUUGAAUUCAGUCUUUAUUUACGAUUUCCUGACCGCCACGUGGCGAGAUGGGGCUGCUAUGCCAGGUGGACAGAGAUCAUUCUUUGGCAGUGCUUCUGAUGGUGAUCAUAGGAUCCUCGUUGCAGGUGGACAUGAUGGCAACAAAAACGCACUUGCAUCUGCGCUGAUGUAUGACGUGGCCAAGAAUGAGUGGGUCGUGUUGCGUGACAUGGCGAGAGAGCGUGACGAAUGCAAGUGCAUUUUCCACCGUGGCAGAUUCCAUGUCGUUGGUGGUUACUGCACGGAUCGGCAAGGGGAUUUUGAGAGCAGUGCAGAGGCACUCGAGCUUGAUGAUGUUGACGGCUGGAAGUGGGAUGAGUUAGAAAACAUCCAUGAAAUGGAUCUAGCGUUGACCAAAAUAGAGGUUCCCGGCGGGCAUUCGGACACCGUUCAUGUUCAGUCUUGUUGCUAUUUGGAGGUUUGAGGUAUACUUUUCAUCUGUAACAUGCAGUUUGUUUGUACUAGAGUACGUUGACAAGGCAUAACUAGGAAUGUAAAUAAGGUUUAGUCAGGCAAAGUUCGUUGGAUCCAAGAAAUUUGGAGCUGAACUUUUUUGUUUUUUUUUUUUUGGCGGGGGGGGGGGGGGGUGGGGGUUGGGAAUUGAGCGGGUAGGCUCAAUUAAAUUAUGAUCAUAGCUUGAGCUUCAUUAGGUUUAGCUGAUUAGAUGAGUGAAUUUAAUUUGUGAGAACAAAAAGAACUUUGUAUAUGUAGUAUUAAUGGUUUCAACUUUGUAUACGUAGUAUUAAUGGUUUCAAUUAUAUGUAGUAUUAAUGGCACAAUACAUAUUCGAAAGUUUCUUAAGUUUCUCCUUCUUAUUUUUUUGUUUCCGACUUGGUCCUCUUGGUUUUGCAGUAAGUUCCUGUUUAUAUGAAAAAGUGGCGUUUGGUAAAAGGGUUUCGGAAUGGGAAAUUGGAAUAAACCCAUGAUUCAUGUUUGGUUCACUAUUAUCGAAAUUGAAAUUUUGGAAUGAUAUCUAAAAAUUUAGCAUUCCACCAUUCCUUAGUAAGUUGGUGGGUUUUGUCCAAAACCCAAGUGUGAUUCCAAAAUCUUAUAAUUACAUAAUAUUUAGUAUAAUUAAUAUAUAUAUUAUAUAUUUAUAUUUAUAUUAUAAUAUAUAGAAUAUAUUAUAAUUAUAAUAUUUUAUUAUAAUUAUAUAAUUUAUUAUAAUAUUAGUAUAUUAUAUAAAUAUAUAUUAUAAUUAUUUAGUUAAAUAUAAAUAUAUUUAUAUAAUAUAUAUUAUAAAAUUAUUAAUAUUAUAUAAUAAUAUAUUUAUAAUAUAUAUGUAUAUUUAUAAAUGUAUAUUAUAUGUGCAUAUAAUUAUAAUAUAUAAUGUAUGUAAUAUUAAUAAGUUAUAUAAUUAUAAUUAUAAUUAUUAUUUUAAAUAUAAUAAUAUAUAAUAAUAACUACAUUUAAUAAUAAUAUGCAUUAUAUUUAUACAAAAUAUUAGUACAAUUAAUAUUUAUAUAUUAUAUAAUUAUAUAUUUAUAUUUAUAUUAAUAUGCAUUAUAUUUAUAUAAAAUAUUAGUACAAUUAAUAUUUAUACAUUAUAUAAUUAUAAUUAUAUAUUUAUAUUAUAACAUUUGUAUAAUUAUAAUUAAUUAUAUAUAUAAUAUUUAAUUUAAUUAGUUACAAACUUAUAAUAAUGAUAUUAUUAUAUUAUUAUAUUAUAUAUUAUAAUUAUUUAGUUAAAUAUAAUUAUAUUUAUAUAAUAUAUAUUAUAAAUUUAUUAAUAUUAUAUAAUAAUAUAUUUAUAAUAUAUAUGUAUAUUUAUAAAUGUAUGUUAUAUGUGCAAAUAAUUAUAAUAUAUACAUGUAUAUAAUAUUAAUAAAUUAUAUAAUUAUAUUUAUAUUUAUUAUUUUAAAUAUAAUAAUAUAUAAUAAAUUUACUAAUACAUUUAUACUAAUAUAUUUAAUUAGUGAAAAUUUCUUAUAUCUCAUUUACAAAUAGCCAAUGACUAUCAUUUACGAUACUGUUUAUAAUAUAUUUAUUAUAUUCCAUUCUGAAAGUGCCGACGAAUCAAACAUCAACUAUAGUAAUGAUAUAUAUUCUAGGUACUUGAACCAAACAGAUAUAUUGAAAUGAAUGAGCGCAUUCCAAAUCCAGGAUAUCCGAUUCCGAAUCCAAAUCUUAUUCCAAUGUGCGAAUCAAACGCCACCUAAAAAGUUUUUAAUUCUUUUCCUGAUAAUAAAUAUUGGAGAUUUUGAAUUCAAAUUUUCCUAUUUAUUUCGUGCUAUUUAAGUCCCACACUCCCACCUUCCUAUUCAAAAAAAUUUUUUUUUUACUUCUUAAAUUUCAUUUUUUUCGGUUGUAAAAUUUUAAACCCCAAAAAAAAAAACCUCCAUUUCAGUGAGGUUGAAUCAUUGGCUCGCUUUAGGCUACAUGACAAUUAGUGUGUUUGGAUUGUAAGUUAUUUGAAAUAUUUUUACUGUAGCACUUUUUGUGAUGUGAUGUAUGUGAGAUAAAAAGGUAAUUGGGAAGAUAAAAAGGUGUAUUGAAAAUUGUAAUGGUGAUGUCAGCAAAUAUAUUUGGCCAAAUAAUUGGCUGUCCAAACACACUCAAUGUUGUUAGAUGUGGCUGAAAUCCAUCUGAUCACCGCUCCGAUGGAUGAUAGGAAGAUGUAAAAUCUUUAGCAAUUUAUCAACGGUCAAGAUUACGCAUCUAUGAUACACGUGUAAGUCACUAGAGGGCGACCCUAAAAUUUGAUGCGGCAGGUUCAGUUACAAUUCUAUAAUCCUUUUCACGGGAAAAAAUCGUCUGCUCCUCGCACAUCAUAACCAUGUUUCGUCGACCACAAAACCUACUCUUUCACUGAUCGAGACGACGCCGUCGCCUGCCGUCUCUGUCGUCGCGAAAUUUGAUCGGAUAUCACCUGAAGUUCAUAGUCAGUUGUCUAGUGUAAAGAUCGUUACUUUCUCCCCUUUUCUCUUCUCUCACAAUCUCUAUUAGUUUAGGGUUUAAGUCUACAUAGUUUUUUACUUUUUUGGGUCAAAUAUGAAUUUUUUUCCGAGAUAAAAUGUUGUUAUUAGAGAAAGACUUAAUAUUUCUGUAUUAUUGUAUUAGAUUUUGAAAGCAGGGAACUGGUUUCAUGUAGCAUUUGGGAGUAAACAUUGAUUGAAGUGGAAAAGCUGAAAAUGGUAAUUUUUUUUUUUUGGCAAAUGAGACGUUACGUUUUACUCUGUUUUCCUGCUUGUUUAAUUAUUGUUUUAUGUGGGAUAAUUGCACGGAGGGUUAAAGAUUUUGCUCGUUUUGUACUUGGCUUGAUGUGCAGAUAAUGGGAUUUGAUUAGUUCAGUUGAUCGACGCCUUGGACUUAAAAAUGUGUUUCUUUAGACUUGACAACAUGUUUUGAACUAUGUCAUUUUAAUCAAGGGUAUUGGCAUUUUGGGGAGCCAUCAGCUGUAUUUACAAAUUUUAACCAGCUCAAGAGUUCAAAUGGACGAAGUACAUGAGUGUUUUAUGGCUUGUGUAUGUCUGUACGUAUUAUAGCGGUAAGAUGUGUGAGUUUGACUUUCAAUUUUUAGUUUCAUCCGUAAUUUACAUCUAGACAAGGUUUAGAUGACGUGCUUGUCAAGGAUAGAUGUUGAUUUGUGGUUGUUUUAGAAAAGUAAGCUACAUCUAGGAGGAAGUGAAUGUUUUGCUUGAGGAAUUGUCGUGUUUGAUGCUUGAAGAAUUAUAUUGAAUUAUGUCAGUUCAACGAACCAGUGAAGAGAAUAGAAACUGUGUUGCUGUGGGAAAUGUGACUAUAAGUCUUGCCAAGCUGCUGUUCAGUAGAUAAAGAACCUGUGAAGUUAUUACACCAUUUCUCGUUUAUUUUACUUUUGCACUGGUAAAAAACUAUCAUCUAAUCGUGCAUGAUAUCUUGUAUGUGCUUCGUAUGACCUUUCAGGCACUGUAGAUUUUCUUUACAACUGGUUUGUUUCUCGGAUAUCUGCUUAUCUGUUUUCAUUCUCCUGUAGUGGAAGUUUGGAAACUUACCUCUGGUACUCUCUUGGCUUAACUUGUCGCCUCCUCUCUCAUUCCCUAUCUACAGUCUAUGCGUUUACUCUUUAACACAAGUAGGCAGAAACCUAUGUAUGGAUUCUUUAACACGUUAGUUCAUGCAUCUAGCCGCAAGCAAGAUUUUAGUUUCUUAUGUAUUUCUUUUGCUCUAUUAUCUAUCUAUCUUGGUAUUCUCACAUAGGAUCUCCUGGUUAUUUGUUUUCUGUUUCUCAUUUACAGUCUUUCCAGGACAAGGGUUAUUGGAUGCCAAAGGGUGGCGGACACCUAGGUGAUGGAGAAACAGUUUUUAGUAACUCCUCUAGAAUUGAAGCGAAGCGCACUCAUCAGUGGUUGUCUGAUGCUGCUGAUCAUGAGGUUUUUUCCACUAAAAAGCAAGCUGUUCAUGUUCCAGUUAGCAAACAAAUUCCAGGAGUCCCCAUGACAAGUCUUGCUUGGGAGAAUGCUUCUGGAUUCCAAUCGGCACCAAACCAAUUCAUUGAUCGGUUAUUUGGUCCUGAUACAACCAGGUCGGCCAAUUUAUCAAGUCGAAACACCUCUCAACUCGAUGUGGAAAACUCCAAUAUGAGAAAAAAAGUCAUAGAUGACCAACUUGGGGGUGACACAUCAGUUGGUUUGUCAAUGUCUUAUCCUUUACAAGAUCCAGAAACUUGUGUCAGCUAUGGUGGAAUUAGAAAAGUUAAAGUCAAUCAGGUUAAGGACUCUGAAAUUGGUUUGCAGGCAGCACAGGAACACAAUAUUGGUGUGUCCUUGGAUCAGGCAUAUAACAGGGAUACUGAAACAGCUUUUGUGUCUAUGGCCCAAGCUUUUGGUAAGGAAGCUGAGAGUGUUACCUUGAUGGGUCAUUCUCAUAGUAGGGUGGAAGUGAAUAUGAAACCUCUGGACUCUACCUUUCCAAAAGGUGAUGAUAGUGCAAUGUCACUCAGCCACUCUUUCAGUAAGGGGGAUUCUAGUACAAUAUCCUUUGGUGGCUGUCAAGAUGAGCCGUAUAUGGAUGUUCUUGCUAGGCCUGUUAAUAGUAGCUAUGACUUGUUGUAUAAUCAGUCUUCCCUUCAAACAGCAGAAAUAAUUGAUGCAAGGGAUUUGGAAGCACCAAUUGCAGUUGCAAGUACCUCGCAAACGCCCAAAGGAAAGCCUGAUUCAGUCACCAAAAAUAAGUCAGAAAUGAAACCAACCAGAAAAGAAGCUCCGAAUAGUUUUCCUUCAAAUGUUAGAAGUUUGAUAGCAACUGGAAUGCUUGAUGGGGUGCCUGUAAGAUAUAUAUCUGUAUCACGAGAGGUAAAUCCUUGUUUUUUUAAUUUUGGUUUAUUGACAAUUAUACUGUUUGGUGGAUCAUUGGAAUCUUGCUGUAUGUAAUCAGGAGCUUCGUGGUACUAUAAAAGGUUCUGGGUAUCUUUGUGGUUGUCAGUCAUGUAACUACUCCAAGGUAAUUCAUCUGCUUAUUCUUAGUUUUUAUUCUCUUUUAUGCGAUCCAACCUCUGAAGCAUGUUUUUGGCUGAAGGCUCUUAAUGCUUAUGAAUUUGAGCGUCAUGCUGGUCAUAAGACAAAGCACCCAAACAAUCACAUAUACUUCGAGAAUGGAAAAACUAUAUAUCAGAUUGUCCAAGAGUUGAGGAACACCCCGGAGAGUUCGUUAUUUGAUGCCAUUCAGAAUGUGACUGGUUCCCCAAUUAAUCAAAAAGCCUUUCGCAUCUGGAAAGGUAGUAUCUUUCUAGUACUCUGUCUCUGUCCACACAUACACCCCCAACACCCCCCCAAGUGGGGCCGGGAACAUGUCAAUUGUUUUUUAAGCCAAUGAGGCCUGUUAUUCAUUUUUUUUUCCCUUCUGUGCCAGAAUCAUUCCAAGCAGCAACCCGUGAGCUUCAGCGCAUAUAUGGAAAGGAGGAACUUAAUCUAUGAUAAAGAAUGGCAACCCAACUGCUGCCCAUUUAAAAUGUGAAAUAGGAUAUCGUUUCUUGUGUGCAUAGAGGUAAAUACUUAGAUAUUUGGUGAAAUAGGGCUCGGGCUCAUUCUCGUUUUGCUGUAAUUUGCUGCUGCAGUUGGAAUGUCACAGUUUGUUAAUCUUCCAACAUGCGAUGUCGAAUGGAGGCAGUAUAACUGCCACAAUAUGUACAGUAUUCUGAAUAUUAUUUUUGGCAUAUUGAAGUCUCUCUUUCUAGAUUUGAUGGUUCUUGGGAAGUUCCUUUUUGUGUUGGUACCAAUCGUGGACUUUCUGAGUAGAAGGAAUCAAUUUCAAGGUUUCCAAAUUCUGCGAGGGGCUAGAGAAUUCACAAUUUGGUUUACCGCAUAUAUUCAUGUUACCGUACCUUCAUUGUUUUCCUAGGGCAUCCGCUUGGAAAAAUUUGUUCGGCAUAACUUCCACCAUUCCAUGGUCAUCUUCAUUUUAUUUGCUGACAUUAUUUUGCCCUAAACAAGAUAGUUUAAGGUUACUGGCUUCUUUUAUCAAAUAAUUGUAGAAGGUGCAUUUUUCUUUCAUUUUCAUACCAUCUUUUACAGAUCUGACAAGAGCAUAGAAAAGAACGACUCCACUGUUGAUCCUUUUAAGAAAAGAAAACCGCCAAGACCUCCCCUUAACUCAGAGAAUUAGAUCGCACCAUUUUGUAUGGGAUUGGCCAGAAUUGUUUUGACAAUUAGUUGACCUUCUACAAGUACCAGUCAUCAAACUUAUGCCUUAUCCAACACAUUCACUAUUGCAAAAAGGGUAACGGCCAGCCAUCUUUUUACUGCUAAUUUCUGAAGCUUACUGCAUUAACUAUGAAGGAAUAUGCAAUCCACAUCUGCACAAAUCUAUUUCACAAUUAAAGAAUAAACAACACUGAAAGGACAAAUUCAGAAGGGAUUACUGAUGAAACCAUUAGCGUCUGGCCACAAUAAGUGCAAGUUUCUCGAUCAGUAAGAGCCAAUCUUACACAAACUAAAAUAAGUCCUUUUAAAGAAUGACAAUUAAUUAAAUUACAUCCACCGACAAUGUUUCGUCACAAUUAGUUUUUGUUUUUGUUCUCUCCUGUCAUUGAGCACCUGAUGUAAGUGCUCAUUAGUAUUCUUCCAGUUCAAGAACCGCAGCAAGCAGAUUUUUGAGCAAGUUGACCAGCACCAGCAGCCUGAUCCGGUUGAUUAAUUUUGAUUGUUGAAGCCUGCAAAGGCAAGCAAACUUAGAUCGCAUACUUUGUAUCAUCUAUCAGAGCCAGUUCAACAAUACCAGGUUGACUUACCUCCGCUUUAGAGUCCGUGUCUGCAAGCCUUUGCUUAAUGUCCCUUGCUAUUGAAAAGAAAACUUCUUCCACAUUAAGAUUUGUUUUUGCACUCUGCAGUGUAGUAUAGUCAUAUUAAGAGAAGCAACAGAAGGAGCUAUGUCACAUAAUACAUUCAAAAGCAACUUACAGUCUCAAAAAAUUUGAUACCGUACUCAUCAGCAAGUGCUUGACCCUUUGAGGUAGGGACAGCCUACAAAUUGUCCAAUUGCUUUAGACAACAUACUGUGACAUAAUGAUAACCAAAUGGGAUUUGAAAGGAUUCCUAAACAUUGUAUAACAUAAUCUACAAAUCAUGCUACUUGUCUUGCUCUAAACAAAAUUAUUUCAUAUGCCAGUUUGUCUAAUUAAUAAGAAAGCUUACCCUUUUGCUUUCAUCCAUGUCAGCCUUGUUCCCUACCAGAAUCUUGUUGACAUUGUCAGAUGCAUGCUGUUCAAUGUUACGAAUCCAGUUCCUAAUAUCUGAGAAAAUGGUCAUAAAAUUCAGGUUCUAUCCUCAACAAAUCUGUGUACCAACAAAAUUCAUUAAAUCAAGUAUUAUAGUAUCUAGUGGCACAUCAGAUUCAGCAAAGCUCAAAACAUCCAGGGGUCCCAAGAUGGCAAUAAUAAUGCCUCACGUAAGAAGAAAUGAAAUCCAAGUAAAAGUUCGAAAGGAUAUAAGUGAAAACAAAGAUAAAAUGGCUAAGCAAAUUAUAUUUCGUUGAUCACAAUAACUUGAGGGUGAUAAACAACGAGCACAAAACUUAAGCAUCAUAGAGUUUUGUCAAAAAAGUUUUGAAGUUAGAAAUAGACCAAUUAGAUGCAACUACCGCAGGAAAACAUAAGUAAAACUUAUAUUAUAAAAGAUGCGGCAAAGAAACCUUACUAUUGAAGGAUGAUUCAUCUGUAACAUCAUAGACCAACAAUAUUCCCAUAGCUCCACGAUAAUAAGCUGGAGAAGGUUAAAAAGUCAAUACAUCACAGGCAUUAAAAUAAAAUAUGAAAAAGUGCCAGUGAUACCUAGACUAAGUGACAAAACAAAUACAUGAACAAUAGCACAUGGGAGUCAUGAAGAAAUAAAACCUUCCAGGCAACUCCAUAUGACAGUGAUGAAAAAUCAUAAAUAUUAAAAAUGAAGUGAAAGGAGAGUAUACUGUUUUCACUGCUACACAAACAGCUGUAAAGACACAAUUAAUGGUUAAUAGGGGAAGAAAAGCAACAAUCCAAUUCAAUGUUUUGUCAUCAACUGGAAUAGCAGUCUCAAAUAACAGGUGCAAAUAGACCAGUUCACAGUUCCUGAACACUUUUUAGCUUCCAAAUUCAUGAAUGAAUAAAAGAGAAGCAACAUCCAUUUGAUAAGAAGAAAGCAGAAAAUUUAUGCACAAUGAAAAAAGCACAACAUAUUUAAAGCAGAAGCAACAACAUACCAGUGGUGAUCGUUCUGAACCGUUCCUGACCAGCAGUAUCCCAGAUUUGGAGUUUGAUCCGCUUGCCAUCAAGCUCAAUGGUUCUUAUCUUGAAAUCAAUUCUGAAGAAGAAAAUAUAGCCCCUCAUUUUCCUAAAAUUCAACCCACUUAACUACCCUUGUCUAAACAGGAAUUGAAAAAGAAAAGAAAGAAGGAAAAAUUAAAAACUCACCCUAUGGUUGUGAUAAAACUGGUCGUGAAGGAACCAUCUGAAAAACGCAAAAGAAGGCAACUCUUACCCACACCUGCACAUGAGUAACUAAAACUCCAUAAGGGCACUAAGUGUUCACCUUCUGUCAUAUGAGUUUAUUGUACGUAUUCACCAGACUCACACAAAACUUAAUAAAAAUUUGCAGAUUGCAUGCUUAAUCACGUUUACUUGAUGAGAGUCUGAGGAACAAAUCCAACUUCACACGCAAAUGUAGACUUAUAUUCCAAUUCAACUUUUUUCUGCAAACUUGAAGUCCCUAAAAAUUUCCAGCUAGUCAAAGUAAAAUUACAACAAAAAUCAUAAUUUCAUUUGCACAAACACCACACUGAGUAUGCCAGCAUUAAGAGUAAAACCAUGUUAGACAGGAUACUCAAGUAUUAAAAAAAAAAAUAGAUAUCAUUACAUGAACAGCAGAUUCUUCUUUUUGGAAACCUAAAUCAACUAUAUUUCCCAAUGAAACCAAAAAAGAGGGAGUACUUCAGUACAUCUUGCCUAACUAUAAUCCUUCUCAUUAGUUGAUAUGGUACACGGAAAGGCAAACUACCUGCAUUUCUAGAGUUUCUAUGACUUCACAAACCCAGAAGCAGAUGUUAAUGCUGCCACUAUGAUUAUGAUGCAUACAUGCUCCCGCUACUAAACCAUCGACACCACCAUUACGACCAACCUGGAUGCUAUUGAUUCCACCAUCAUGCCAAGCAGCCCCAAUCCAUUGUAAGCAUAUAUUACCAGUUCAAUUUGAUGAACUGAAAGCACUAAACACGAACAACAAAUACAAAUCUCAACUUCCAAAACCAGUCCUGACAAGAUCGGAGUUUCACAAGCACAAACGUGUAGUUUAUCCUUUUGUAAGCUAAUGAUCGACAUUAGCUAUUCGAAGAGUCUAUAGAAUAAAUUCAUUAAACCACAAUGGAUUUGUAGACAUAUGAAUAAAAUGCCACUGGUAGCAUUUUUAGGCACGGAGUUAUAACCAAUAAUCCAUACCCCCCCCCCCCUCUUGAAUGAAGCUAUAGAUCCACAUACAUUAACUGUUCUGAUUGACAGAAAUUGUAACACGAAUUAAAUAUCAAUUUAAAAAUGCUAAAAAAGGCUCGAUCCAUGAAAAUUUUGAAAUGGUACUAACCACUAUCGCCGAUGAGUAGAAGUUUUAUGAGGUAAUCGUAGUCCGCUCGAGCCCUCGCCGGUGGUGCCGCCAUUGAUGUAUUAAUCAAUUAAUAAAUACAGUUCAAUACCCCAAUUUGACCGAUGGAUGGGAAGAUACAAAAAUGAUACAAAAAAUAAAGGAAUAAUUUCAGAAACCUCCCUUGAGAAUUUUAACAAUUUCAUUUAGCUCUCUUGAUGUUUUAAAAAUUACAUAUACCUCCCUUAUCUUUUAAAAUGAUAAUACUACCCUUGAAUAUUUAAUGAAAUUUCCUUGUUUGGUAUGUUUAUAUUUAGAAUGACUUUUAAAAUUAUUUUUUAUUCUUUUUCCUUCCUAUUCCUUUUUUUAAAAAUUUUUUGCCAAUAAAACUAUAAAACUAUCGCUAUUAUCUCUAGUUCUAUUGCAAUCAAAUGUCCAAUUAGUGAUUUUUUUGAUGAUUUAACUUUAUAUACAAUCCAACGUUUUCGCUGAUCUUUAUUUCUAACCCUUUGUGUUUGGAUUGUAAGUUAUUAUACUUUAUUUACACAUACUGAUUUGCUUGCAUCAUUAACACAUUUUCCAAUCACUUUUUUAUCUCACAUACAUCAUAUCAAAAAGGUGUUACAGUUCUUUUUCACAACAUUAUCUCAAAUAAUUUACAAUCCAAAUUUAUCCAAUUAAACAUCUUUUGUCAUUUUUUAUACUUUCCUUUUUAUCCACACAAAAACUAAAUUUUAUCCUAACUAUCUAAUUAUAUAUAACCAACAUAAUAAUUUUUGUUACAACUACCAAUAGGUUUAAAUAUCCAAACUUUUUUAUUAUAAAAAGGGUUUAAUUACAAAGGCAGCUACCAAUUAACAUGACUACCAAGAUAACUAUCAAUUCAUUGAAAAGAUUCCACAAAAAAUAAAUUAUUCUUAAACUGCACAUACAUGGGUGUGCCUUUAGCACUAGUUUAAUAUAAAGCUAAUUAACCACGCUGCAUUUAAUGUAAGGAUAUUUUAGAAAGAUAAUAAGUUACGUUUAUUUUUUUCAACAAAAUUAAUCAACUUUUUUUUAAAUAGUGUGAAAAAAAAACAAACUUAUCAAAAGUGAGACGUAGGAAGUACUACAAAGCAAUCAAACCAACGCAUCCCACUAUGCCACAAAGAGAGGAUGACGUAAUAGUACAAAUUUUACUCCCCUCAACUUUUUAAUACUUUUAACUUGUUUCCUAAACUUUCAUAUUGAAUAACUGCACCUUUGGCAAUUUUAUUGAUUUCUAAUCCAAUUCUGUUUAGGGAGAAAGAAUGGCACUUUUUAGAUGGAAAAAGAGGCGUUUUAAGGGGCAUUUGGGAGAAGACACCACCGCAAUGAUAGCAAUAGAAUCUAUCAAUAUUGUCAAAUCCCUAUUAUAUUAGAAUCUCUUUAGAGUAGAGUUUUUGGGAGUUCAUAUUGUAAUAAUAUGGGAUUAAAAAAUAAUUGAGAAAUGUGUUAACCAAAUAUUUCAAAAAAUUUCCGUGCAAAACUAGCUAUCCAAAUUCCAAAGAAGACAUCCAUAGACAUGUGACCAGCAUCUUGAUAAUGAGGUUGAGGAACAAGUCAUUAUGCAUUAAUCAUUGAUGCUAUUUUUUCUCUUGAAGUUUUUCUUGAUGUGCAUGUGCGUCAAUAUAGAGUUCAUUGCGCUUAAUGCUAAUAGCCUAAUUGUCAUGAUCAAAGAAAGGGCGCCUCAAGAAAGACAAGCAAGCAGAAAGCUACGUACACAAUAGACAAUCUACGAAGUUGACUUUUAAAUUCUUCCUUUGGCAAACUAGUUUAAAAUAAAUGCAUUAAAAUUUCCUCAAUUAGGACCAUGCACAAUUAAUAUUCAGUCAUUAAGUCAAUUGGGUGUUAAAUGCUGGAGCCAAAACAUAAAUACUUGUCAUGCUUCAGCAUACUUAAAAAGUACAAGGGCUUUGCCUGUAAGGUGGAAUUUCCUGUAGACAUGUCACUGUACCCGAAGCUAAAAGAAAAUCCAUCAUGGCUUGUUCUGGUAGUUUGGUAUUUAUUGUACUAUUAAGACCUUGUUUGUGCGUAUUGGUCGCGUACUGAAACAUACGACGGAGUAAAAGAGAGCUACAUCAUUAUAGUAAAUGCAGCUCAACUAGUUUUUUUUUGGGGUCGGGCGGAGUGUUUUGAGGGUGGGUUUGUCUUCAGGUUAACUACUUCCCUCCGGAUUAAGAUUUAGGACUGUAAUGUAAUUUCAGCCGGGCAAAAAAUCUCAGCGGCCACUAAACUAUUGAUCAAAUUAUAUUUUAACAAUUAAACUAUUUUUCGUCAGUAAUUAGCCAUUAAAUAACUUAAACAGUAAAUUCGUGAUCAUUUAAUCGAUAAUUGCUCUUAAUUUGUGAAAUUAGCUGUACACGUGACGAAGUGCGAGGUAAAUUUGUCCAACAGCUAAGCGACCCUAUUUCACAGAUUAAUUGCUAAUUUUACAGAUUAAGAGUAAUUAUCGACUAAAAUGAUCACGAGUUUACUGAUUAAAUUGUUUAGUGGUCAAUUACUGACGAAAAAUAAUUUGAUGGCCAAAACAUGAUCCGGCACAACAUCUGCGGAUCAAAGGAAAAAGUCGGUCCCAUAGAUUGGAUAUAAUAGCAUCUAUCUUUUGCCUAGGCAGGAAAUAUAAUUAAGGUGAUCAUUAAUUGUCUACCAUUCUUGCAGUUUUGGAAGGCCAUCAGGGCAACGUGCUUUCACCUGAUUGAAAAUCCUCCACUGCUCAGCUUGACGGGGUCAGUAAAACCGAGCCAUUAUUGUGGGAGUGGGACUCGAUCUGGAGACCAGCUAACGCCAAGGUUUUCUGGUACGGUAAGGUAAUGCCUAAUGGAACACGUUAAAUCACGAUGCAGGAAAAAAAAGGAGAGGAGAAAUAAAAUAUUAGUGGUCACGAAAAGCCACCAUAAGAAAACGGAGCUCCAAGAAACUCAAAUUGCAAAAGGAAGACAUAUGAUGACCUACACCCACGUAGCAUGGCCGAAUAGACGGACUCCAAUGCCUUUUUUUUUUUUUUUGUCAAUACAGGGGUGUCCGGGUCAAGACCCGAAGGCGGCCCGAUUAAUCCCCUGCGCCUUUUUUUUUUUUUUUUGUCAAUACAGGAGUGUCCGGGUCAAGACCCGAAGGCAGUCCGAUUAAUCCCCUGCGCCUCCUGAAGUAUCCCGCCUCCCAAGAGCACCCAGGCGAUAUGUGAGGUCAAACUCGAACCUGUGCCACCCGAGGAUUACUCCCGAGGCUCACCAGCCGAGCUGACCCGAGGGGCUCUCCAAUGCCCAUUUGCUUUGAUAAGAAUUUCAUUUUCAAUAAUGACACGGCAUAAAAAUACCAAAAGGGACCAAUAAAAUAUAGCACAGUAGCAAGCCAAGUUAAUGCUUGAAGGGAUAUGCUUGGAAGAUCCUUCCCCACCAAAUUUUAAUAGCAACCAUUCCUUUAAAGUUAAUGAACCCCCCUUAACAAGCCAUCUCUCUGGCUAGAUGCUGGAGGAUCUCCUCCCCCAGCUCCAGUUCCAGUUCCAGUUCCAGUUCCAGUUCCUCCUCCACUGGCUCCAGCAGCCAGUGGAGGAGGUUUCAGCUUCAGUUUCAGUUUCACUAAUAUGAUGGGCUCCGUCUGGGACGAUUCAGCACCUGGUGGUCGCUGAAGUCGUAUGGCAAGCGGGAGGAGGAGAAGGGUCGAGCAUGAUCCAGUUAUAUGGCGCAGAAGUUGUGAUGCUCGCUCCAACCUUACUAGGUAUUUUGGGCAACCACAGAUCCUUUGGCAAUGCAUCUAUGACAGAUGUAUCUCAAGCUUCAGUAGUAAACAAAUAUCUUUGUUAGAAUUAUGAUAUUUUCUAUUCCUAUAUCUCUGAUGUCUCUCAAAUUUAGAUGCAUUUUGGACACAGAAAAUUCAAGGGCAGUUGAUAUUUGUUUUUCUCUUCUCUCAAGUACUAUAUAUUGAUUGACUUGCCUUGGUUGUGUAUUGAUAAUUAUAUAUUACGUAUUCAAUUUCAACAUAAUUUUUAGGCAAUAGUUGCCCGAUUGAGUCGGUCAUAAAUAUUGCUCCCAUAAAAAUUGUGCAUCCGGCAGAGCGUGUGUAUGUAUGUUUUUAUAUUUUUAAUUUUAGUUUCAUUUUAUUUGGCUUUCCGUUGUUUAAGCUUUUAUUCUUAGGAUGGAAACAGUGCAGCUACACUAGGCGGCUAGGCGCAAGCAAAACAUAGCUUAUUCUUUUUAAUGCGAGUUGAUGUGUUCGUGUAGGAGACCGAGAUCUGCAAGAAAUUGACAAAAAAUAGAGGACUCGUGAUUUUGACAUGUCAAAGUAGUAAAUCAUUAACAAUAUAUAAAAAAUGACUGGAAAUAACGAGGGGGAAAUGUUGAUUUAAUUUGUGUAAUUCAAGUCUAGAAUUUCAGGCAUUGGUAUUUGUUUUCGGGCAAAUUACACUUUACCCCUUUGUGGUUUAGCUAAUUUUUACAUAACCUCUCUAUAGUUGUAAAAGUUAUAUAUAAUUUUUUUAUAAUUUGAAUUAAAAUAUCAAAAUGACGAAAAUAAUUAUUCGUAAUAGAACCUAUAAAAAUGUCGAAAUUACCUUUGUUUAAAAACUAAAAUGAUUGAAAUAACCAAAAUAUAUAAACAUAAUAUGCAUAAUAAUUUAACCCCAUAUGACUUUAUAUUUUAUCAUAGAACUCCUUUAUGCUUUUUAUAUAUAUAUAUAUAUAUAUAUAAUUUCCUGUGGUUCAUAAUUAAUUUUCAACUUUAUAUAGGGGUAUUUUUGCCAUUUUAGUUGAUUCCAGUAUAGAUUGCAAAUUUCGUCAUUUUGAUACUUUAAUCCAAAUCAUGAAAAAAUUAUGUUUAACUUUUGAAAUCAUAAGGGGUAAUGUAAAAAAUACCAAACUACACGAGGAUAAAGUGUAAUUUGACCUUUGUUUCUCUUAUUCUCCAUUUCGGCUUCAAUUUUGAUCAUCCCCGUGGUAAGCCGAGAUCUAGUGACACGGCACAUUAUUAUAAUUAUUUUUUUCUUCUCUCUUUUUCGGAAACAAUACAUGAUAUUCAGAUUCACUCAUGAUAAGCUAAAUUGGCACAGAGUGUCUUUCAUAUACCAAGUAAAGAUAGCAGUCAAGUAACAAAGGCAGCAACUUUUCAUUAAUCAAAUAGUCCAGUGCGCUCAUAAUGAUCCAAUUUACACAAGUUCAAGGCCAAUAGACUGCAAUGAUCAGUUUUAAAGAUAGCGACUGGCCACAAGGCAACUUCAACCACGAUCCAGUAUAUUACAUGGUCAACUUGUAUACUUUUAGAAGUAUACACUUUUACAAGUAUACUAAAAAUUCAAUUAAGCUCGUCGAGCUUACAAGCUAAGGAAUAUAACGAUCAAAAUCGACUUGUAUAUAUUAUUUGGUAGUUCAAAUUUGACUCAAACUCAAUAAAUAUCGAAUUCAAAUCUAAUGAUUAACCAAGUUACUCAUGAAUUUGAGUCGAAUAAUUUGAUCAGCCUGCAGCCUUAUGUAGUAGCAGUCCAUGUUUUGUUCGUAAAUUUUCCAAACCAGUUAUAUGUAUUGCCAAAUGCACCAAUCAAUCACAUUAGACGAAUCCAAAUCGCACAAAAACUUGAUAGCUCGGAAAAAGGCAAUCUUACCCGCCAAACGGAAGCAAUUCAGAACUCGAAUUGCAAUUGCGGUUAGUCCUUUUGGUAACACGAAUAUAUCGACAACAAAAGAUUCACCAACCAUAUAAAAACCCGGUGCUAGGGGAGAGUAAGCGAGUAAUAAGAACAAGAAAAGCUUUUCACCAACUCAAUUUUUUUUUAAAUGUAAUAUUAAAUCCACUUCUUAUUUGGUGCCCUGACAGCACCAAAUAAACAAACCCUUUUAAUUAUAAUCAUUUUAUACCCAUGUCAAUACAAAUGCUACCAUCUACACGUAGCACGGUUAGUAAAAGUUUUAAAACAUUACCUGUAAUUUCAUAUGCUAUAGUAUAGAAGGACGUACAUAUUUUUUGUGACAGUCCCACAUUAUCUCAGGAUGAACCCUAAGGAUUAGCGAGCUAUCUGCCCAACUCUCGUCGGAGUUUAGUCAAUUAAUAAACCAGCAACCCAAGAAAACUAACUAAAUAUCUUCGAAGUAAUGGUUACAAACUAUAAUAGAAAUAUAAUCGUCACAUCAAUUUCCCAUAUUUAAAAUAUAAAGUUAAAUGUCAAACUUAUAAUUUCAAACUUAAUUUACAUAAUAAGUGCCCAACUUACAACUUCAAACUUACAAGAGUCAAAGAUAAAAUCUUAUAAACAAAAAGGAUUACAACCCAAAAUACAAGUUCAAGAUAAGAUUUAAAACUAUGCAAGUUCCUGAUAGCAAUCCCAUCACAAACCUGUUAAAGAAAACAAAAGAGAGUGGGGUGAACUAAAAUUCAGCGAGAUCCCAAAUAAAUAUGUAGGCACAUACCUAAUUAGAGGCGUAAUAUAAACAAGUAAACACCGUGUAAUUCUGAAAUAAUUUAAUCACAAUUCAAUUCAAGAAUACGGGUAGUUUCCAAAAGCCAAAUUCACUUAAACUUGAUCGUAUCGAGAAUCCGUUGACUCUCUGCCAACGUUUGCAUUUAAAGAAUAUAAUGUCCGUAAAACACCACUUUCUCCAAAUUUCGUACACCAGUUACCCCUUUACCGGAUCCGAACAUUUCAAACAAUAUAAUUAGAUAAUACUCGAGUAUACCAAUUUUCGGAUUUCAGUAAAUAGUUCCCAAGGUUCAUCGGUCUUCUCGACCAAACCCUUGUUGGCUCGAUACAACCGACUCACUUACGAGGUUGGGUUCCUAAACAGUCACAGUAGUCGAUGGGAUAUCACCCAAAUGAUGUAUAGUCAAAUAUAAAGAAAUCACGUCUUAAAUUUUCAGUAUACAGAGUUUCAGUAGAAUUGACGGAGGUCGAGUGUGAUAAAGUACACGUUUACCUCGAGUUUGUCAAAUCAAAUUUUUAGAUCAAACAAUCACAAACCAAGUAUUCAGAUAUCUCACAUAGACAGGUAAAAGGUAGUAGAACGCCCACCUAUUAAGAAAUUAAGAGUUUGUCCGUCAAGUUCCGUGAUUACCCUCACAUUCGUUUUUCAAUCCUAGGCAACGAGUAAAAAUCAUUAAUAUUCUUGAUUUAUUUGCCAACCCAAACGUAAGUUUCAUUAGAUAACCUAAUAGAUUGUUAAUCAACUCAAUUUACUAUGCAAGUUAGACAAAAAAUGUAGAAAAAGAUCAUAAGAGAAAUGAAUUUGAUAAGUGCAAGAAAAUUGAGUAAAAGAAAAUUCUCAUUCAAGUUCAAAAGGGCUUUCGCAAUAAAACAGUCGCCCACGCGCAAUUUCGAAAAAAUGAUCAUAUUUCACUGUAAACAAGUCGGAAUCGUAUGCCGUUGGUGGCACUGGAAACUAGACUCGAAGAGUUUUCUAAUGGUAUAAAAUACAAACUCUAGUUCCUCUCCUAUCAAUAUCAGAAGUUCGGGGAAGUUGACUGAUUUUUCUGUUCUGAUCAGCUCAAGACUUUGACAAAAAUCACCCUAAUCCUCCUCCAUAACCUUAUUCAUUUUGACUCAAAUUCAUCCAAUUCAAUCUCCUAAAGUUAAUAUAUAGGGGUCAAGUUAUAUAACACUAGUUAAGUUUAAAAUUCAACAUACAAGAUGCUAAAAUGAAUCAAGGCAGUCCAGCUAACAAGGAAUAACAAAACAGUCCAAUACCUUGCCAAACAACCAAUUUACUUGCUCCAUUUCACCUCAACUCACACAUAAGGUUAAACCAAUGUUAGGCAAUUUUCUUAAACUUAAGUAAGGUUCAAUAAGUCACAAAAAUCAAGGAAAAACGUCCAAUCUAUGGCUGGCUAGCAAGAAAAAAAAAAAUAGUUCCGAAAUUCACAUUCAACACCAAUCUCCAUCCUUCUAUUAUUUUUAAUUUAAACAACGUUCUAAGAGUUAUUUCUCCAUUUAAGAGGGUUCAUAACAUGCUAAUACAUCAAGGAAAACUACAAACAAAGCUUAGGCAAAGAAUCAAACACAUGGCAUGUCAUAUAUCCAACCUUACUUCCACUUACUUAGCUCAAGGAGUUUAACCACAAACAACAUCAACUCAACUUCUAAUUUGUCAUCAAUACCUUAAACACUUGAUAUUAAACAACAAAACUAAGGUUUAAAGAUCAUUCACCUUUUUUAAAUGAAGUUUGAACCAUUCAAAAGUCCACAAAAGUAAGAGUUCCAAGUUUGAAUCACACAUAGACCUUGAAGAUAAUUUACUUAACUAACUAAGGUUCUUUCUCUUUUGGUUUUUUCUCAAAGUCUAAGCUAGAGUUUCAAGCAAGAAAAUUGAGUUUUUUCUUCUCUCUUUGGAACUUAAGAGAGUCGGCCAAGCUAAGGAGAAAAAUGGAGUCAAAAGGUUUAAAUUUUGCUAAUUUUCCUGGUCAAGUGGGUUGAGUGGUUGGGGCAUUGACACUUGGCUCAAUCUUGGUCAUUCCUUCUCUUAAACUUUGCCAAAUAAUGUUUAUACACUCAAAGUUUUUCAAAUGUCUAAUUAGCACCCUUAAACUUUCACAUAAGGUCUCAAACACAAUUAAAAGGAUUUUUGGUCCUUGUGCAUAUAAUGAAAUAAAAUAAUACCAAUUCAAUGAGAUGUUACAAUUCAUGUAGAAAGACAAUGCAAUGCAAUACAAGGAAAGAUUACAAUUUAUUUAGUCUUAGGGCAGUGCAAGUAAUUUAGGAGAACUUAUAUUCUUAAGUGAGGGUUAUCACAUUUUUAUUUUUUUAAAGAGUAAAACUUAUACAUACUGGCAGUAUAUACAUUAUCACGGUUGGAUAUACGACACAUAUACAAAUUUUGAGUUUCAAAUUUAAAUUCGAAUUAUGUAUUAUGCACAUAAUAGUGAAAAUAUAUAUAUUAUCAAUAUAUAAAGAUUAAUCUUUUUUUUAAUAGGUAAAGACAUACCAUAUUUUUUUCCCCGUUCUCAUAAAUGGCCUUGCUCUAUAUUUCGAAAUUUCAUUAUGGUACCAUUUUCAAAAGAUUGAAAGAGAGCUUAGGGACCUGCAUUCCUCGCUCGAGUGGGAUCCGUACUGGUGAAGCCACGUAUUUUUUGCAAUUACAUUUUUUAUUAAAAUCUUGCAACUACUCCUAGUCAACCCACAUACUUUUCCAUCCUUGGAUCACCAGUAAUUUGAAUUUUCACAAAAACAAAAGAUGUUCAUUCUGGCGGUUUCCCAAAAUUACCUCGUUAACCUUACAAACCGCCAAAUCCAGAUGAUCGCCAAUUGUUUAAGAACUCAAAUAAACAACACAAAAACCAAAGGCGCCAAAGCCAUAUUUCCCACAGCCCAUUCUUUUCCACAAAACUUAUAUCUCAACCGUCCAUUAUCUCACUUCCACCAACCAUUUAAAUCCAACACCUAAUAAGUCUCCAGCUCAUCGAUCCAGGUGCUUCCACCAUUAACCAAUCAGCUUCCACCAAAACUACCCAUAUAAACACCUCCUCCUACAGCCAUUAUCCAAAAAUUUCAGAUUUCUCACUGGAAUCGUCGUCUCAAAUCAAAUCUAUCCGCCUUUUUUCUCCUUGCAAAUCUCUACAUCCUAAUGGCACCCAAGGCAGAAAAGAAGCCCGCCGAGAAGAAGCCGGCAGAGGAGAAGAAGUCCGCCGUCGCCGAGAAAGCUCCUGCGGAGAAGAAGCCAAAGGCCGGGAAGAAGCUCCCCAAGGAAGCCGGCGCUGCAGCAGGCGAUAAGAAGAAGAAGAAGGCGAAAAAGAGCGUGGAGACCUACAAGAUCUACAUCUUCAAGGUGCUGAAACAAGUCCAUCCGGACAUCGGAAUUUCCAGCAAGGCCAUGGGAAUCAUGAACAGUUUCAUCAACGAUAUUUUUGAGAAACUGGCUCAGGAGGCUUCCAGGCUUGCUAGGUACAACAAGAAGCCCACCAUCACUUCCAGGGAGAUUCAGACUGCUGUGAGACUUGUGCUCCCUGGUGAGCUUGCUAAGCACGCCGUUUCUGAGGGGACCAAGGCCGUAACCAAGUUUACUAGCUCUUGAAGUUGUGGUUGAAGGGUUGAUGGUAAAGUGGGGGAAGUGUUUCCUUUGGAAUUAGGGGUUAUUAGGUUUUGGUUAGCAGCAAAUAGACCAUUUUUUGUUUGUAGAUUUUAACUUUUUGGAUGCUGAUAUUCGGGGAUGUAAUUCUGGGUAUUCUGGAUCCUGCUAUCUAGUUCUCAUAUGGAAUAUAUAGUAGUUAAAUUUUCAGUGAAAUCCUGGAAUUUUUCCCCACACCCCCCUUUUUUUCUUUGUUUAGAAUUAGAAUACAUUUACUCAGUAUUAAUUUACCUUUGUUGGGAGUAGUCCUGCGGGUGUAAGGUUUGUUGGGUGAAUGAAUGUCUCUGCUUGCAACAGGUUCAUGUUGUCAGUUUGAACUCAGAGCAUAAGCCAGCACAUUCGAAAUGUGUAAAAGAAUAUGAAACACUUUAAUUGAUCGAGAGUCUGAAAUGUUCAGAGUUCUUAUUCACUGAUUCAAGUCAUAUCUUCUGGUGCCAUUCCAUUAACUAUUUAACGUGAGAUAAGCCUAAGGUUUCAAAUUGCGUGCAGGGCAUCUGAAUGAAGAAAAUGGCACCUCGUUUAGAAACUUAAAUGAAUUAAUUUCGCAUUCCACUAACAUGCAAGCAAGGAUCCUGAUUGUAAGGACUCGAAUGCUGGAGCAACCUCCACGGAUGAUUCGUUAAUGCCCGAACAAGGAAAUGAGCAGGAGAGAAAGCAGAAUUAUUUCUGGAAAUGGCAUGAAUAGAAACGAGAAACAGAGAAACUAGUAUGGAGAUUUAGCCAUUUAGGCAGGGCUGUGAUAAUGAAUGGAGUAUGCACCUGUAAUGUAGAAAUUGCGUGCUCAAGCCCUCGUUGACAGCUUACCGAAUGUUAUUUUCAAUGAAUCAGUUCCUUAACUCUAAUAUGCCAAUUGGAUCAAUGUAGAGACUGGCAUUACUUCAAGCGGGUGACAUCUAAGAUGGGACAUUAGUCAACCAUUAUGUUCCAUCUCUUUACUCAUCCGUUUUUUGGGGGGUGACUUAAUGCCUCCGCUCUCUCAAAAUGUCCUGACAUAUGAAACCGCAUUUUCAAAAAUAUUAAAAAUUCUUAAUUUUGGUAUUAAAAGCAUAAAAUAAUAUGAAGAACACUUGAAUCGAGUUUGAAAUGUGCAAAGACCAUUCUCAUUUAUUCAAAUCAUGCUAUUCUAGUAUAGCCACGAACUAAGCUCCAAAGUGUGAAAUUACGGGUGCAUUUGACAAAACUGAAAUUUGAAAAUUAAAAAUUGAAAUAUGAAAUUUGAAGUUUAAAUUCAUUAAAUUAUUGAAUUGUUAAAUAUUAAAUUUAAUAUAUUUAAAUGCAUAUUAUAUUCAGUGAUAAAUGAAUAACUUAUCACUUAAUUUUAUGAGCAAGUUUUACCUAAGAAAUUCAGUGUCACUUAAUUAAUUCAUGUGUUCAAUUUUUUGUUAUCAAACGAUCUGAAUAUGUUAAAAUUUAAAUCCAUCAAAUUUAAGUGCUGAAUUGAGUUAUCAUAUGCUGCCUGACCAUUCUAAUUCUCCUUCUCCUGCUCUCUUAUCCACUUGCUGUUUCAGUUUCUUUGAGGACACAAGUUUGGUCUAAAGAUCGGUAUAGAGAUUAUAUCUCAUCGUUUUUGGUGUAGUUGUCUUGCAUUGAUGUUAUCUAAAUAUUGUUUUUUCAUUAAUUUUAGCAAGAGUGUAGGUUCUUGCCACUGAUACAGGAGCACCCGAUCGGGACGGCCAGCCAAGACCAAUUUUCCUCUGUUUUUGAUGCUAUAUCUCGUAUGGAGCCCUCACAAAUGAGAUCCUCGGUACUACUUUUGAGUGGUAACUGAGUGUCAUUUCUAUAUUUAUGUCAAGUGUUUUAUUUAUUUAAAUUGUCACAUGUUCUUUAAUUUUUUAAUAACUUGAAUUAAUUUGGUUUAACUCUCAAUUGUCAAUUCCCAAUCAUUGAGAUUCAUGUCAAUUCGGAUUAAUAUUUAGGUAUAGAUAUUACUUCUUUUUUUUUCUUUCAAAUAAAUUGAAAUGAUUGAAGUUUUUCUAUUUGGAAUCGUGUUAGGUCUAAUUCCUAUUACUUUGGCUGGAUUAUUCGUAACUACAUAUUUACAAUACAGGCGUGGUGAUCAGUUGGACCUUUGAUUAAUUAAUAUAUCAUUUUUUGAUUGACCUCCUCCUUUCCUUUUAUUUAAUCCAUAGGGGUCAAAUUCCUAAUUUCGUUACUUCACGUGAUAAAUGAAACUGACACUAAAUUUGAUAUUGGAUAAUGGUACCGUAGAUCCCAACUGGGAGCCCACAAAGGAAAAAAAUGUUUUUGAGCGUAAACUAGUAUUUAUUUUUUAAUCAUUUUGCAUGAACCCGUCAUUGUUAUCAAGCACUGUACAUGCUGUCGAAGCUGCAGAAUUAUUUGGGAAAAUGGCCUGAACAAAAGAAAGUAGAGGAACUUGGGACGUUUUACAAUUAGUGAACAAGUAAUCUAUCAAGCAAAAAUGGUGGAUUGUAUAAGGAAACGAAAUGCAAUUCCUAUUCAUAUAUCUCGGAUUAUAUCAUACAUUUGCCCUUAUUUAUCUUAAUUUAAUUUAGUUUAGAAAUGGAAAGUUUAUCUUUUGAUUUUAGGGGUAGGGUUUUGAAAUUUUUUAUAAAACAUUUGUCAUUCAUUAAAUUUGCAUUAAUGACAAAAAUUACAUUAAUCAUACUCAAAUAUAAUGACAGAAAUUACAAUAAUCAUAUACAAAUAUAAGCAUAUCUGAAGAACAAAUACUAAGUACUACAGUCUGAAAAAUAUAAAAUACUUAUAACCCAAAGAUUCGUGUAUGUAUGCUUCCAACUGUACUGCUUAAAUUCUCUCAUAUUUACUCAUAAAUUGAUUCAAACCCAAUGUUAAAGUGAGAUUUGAUGAGAUAGAUCUAAAGACUUCCAAAUUUGACAACUAAAUUUGAAAAGAUAUAGAUCUAAUAAAGAAAUAUAAAAAUUACAAAAACUCUCCCUAGAAAUCUCUAGAAGAGGAGAAGACUCUGUUAGGAAGCACUAAAAGAGGAGAAAACUCUCACCGAUAGUAUACUUUGAUCUCCCUCCUACAGGAGAAAGAUGUUUUCUUUGCUUGCUAGGGAAUGAAAAGUUAGAGAGAAAGAUGAGAGUUCAGAUUUAGAGAAAAGUUACAAAGAAGGAGACACAUUCUCCGUUAAAUUUCAAUUUUCGAUAAUUAUUGGGUUAAGGUUUUGAAUUUAGGAGUUAUUAGGUCAUGUUUAGCCGUUAAUAAAAUGUUUUAUGAACUUUAAUUUUGGUACUGUUGUUUUGAUACUUUGGGAUGUAGCACUAGAUCUUCUCGAUCCUACCGUCCAGUGCUUUGUUUGGAAUGGAACAAUAUGUUAAAUAUCAAGCAAAAAACUUGCAGUUAUAUUUGGGGGCAGAGACGCCCGGCUGCCCUAGUUUUGCCUAAUCGCCUCUAGACAAGUUUUAUUUAUAAUUGUUGUUUUACCCGUGAAACUUUAGAAAAAUAUCAUUGCCCUCCCCCUCCCUUUCACCUAAUUUUUGUCUUGGAAAAAAAAUAUAACUUCUCUAAAUAUUUCUAGACUUUUAUUAAACUAGUUGAUCUAUAACAUUUAAUUUCCUAUUAAAUUGUUUAUAUCAACAUGUACUACAAUUAAAAGUUAUAACUAAUAUUUGGUACAUUAAAAUAAAAUUUUGUGAUAUGUUCUAGAUUUUUUUUUGGUGAGGUGAUAAAGAAGAAAAGAUAGAAGCAUGAGUUACUAUAUAAAUUUGACAGACUAAUGAUUUUUUUUUUUUAAGUACAAAGGACAAUUGUUUGGAAUGGCUUUUCAUCCUUGCAAAUUUUCAAGUUUCAAGCAACAUAAAUAAUUCCUUGAAAAAUGAUGAAACAAACCAAAAAUCGGUGAUGGUUUAUUACCCUUCUAAUUGACAAUUUCAAGAGAACAAUAUCAAAAUAUAAUAAAAGCAGAAUUGGGUAGAAAAAAUUGCAUAUAAAUUAGGUUGCUUAACUUCAGUAUAAACAACUUACUAAGGUAAUACAAUUAUAAGUGAGAGAGGAUAUUCGGCAUUCUGACAACAAUGGCUUGAUCCAUCUUAUGUCUUCAACCUUAAUUAAAAUGUGUAUAUAAUUUAUGCACAAUUCAAUAACCUAGCUACCUUCAUAUUUCUUCUUAUUUUGCAUUAAAGAUCACGAUUCUAUAUCACAUUAACAAACCUUCGUCCCUUCCUCUUCCUACAUAAAGAACCUAUUCACUUAUUAAUUUACUCUUGUAUAAUUUUCUGUUUCUUCGUUUCUAAUUUACCAAACUGGACAACCAUCCCCAUAAGCUACCAAAGGGCCUAUUAACAAGGUUAUUGCCGAGGACGAUGCAAUGGGACAACAGAUUCAACAAGUACGCAAAACUUCAUGUCUCUUUGUUUUGCCUCUCUAAUGGCACUAUGAGAUUUUUGGUGUAGACUAUCAAAAACAUAUACUUUGAGAUUUUUGGUGUAGACUAACAGAAACAGAGUACACAGUACCAAACCAAAGAUUCAACUACAAGUCUGAACUAGAGUUUUGGACUUGAGUCAUGUUUAUGUUUGCUUUUGCGGAAAGGGUGCCAGUUUGAUGGGUUUUGACAUCCUAGUUACUGUAAACUUUUCAAUAAAAUCGUACUAUCAUACCACAUUUUCAUUUUCAAGAAAUAACACUAUGCUACUAUAUGUUCAAUUCUGGAUAUAUGCUUGAUUUGGAUAUAUACCUCCCCUCCUUCUUAAUUUAGGAUUAUUACGUCUUAGUAGUAGUUCAAAGAUGUUCUUUUGUUCAAAAUUUUGACAUUGACAUUAUGAUUUUUGAGGUGUAAUAGAAGUUGCUGACAUUUAUUAAUGGGGUCUAUAUUAAGUGGGGGAAUUGGGAACAUGUGGCGUUGUAGGACUGGUGAAUAAAGGUGUGUUAAAACGAUAAAGGAUUUCUGCGUUUGCAUUAUUUGAGCUAGAAUGAAGCAGAGAUCUUGCCAGUUCUGGAUUUGACCUUCGAGACGUUCACGUACAACUGUUAGAUGGUUUUAUUGCAACAUGAUUGGUUGUUAAUGAUGUGUGGAUUGGGAGGCAAUAGGCUAUUUGAGCAUUUUUAUAAAAUUUUAAAACUUGUAGAAAAAAUUUUGUGUAUUUGAAGGUCUGAAGAAUUUUUUUUUCUUUCUUCUUCCUUCCAUCUUCUUUUUUUUUUCUACCCCAUCACCAUCAACCAUCCCAACAACUGCCACUAUCUCACAUCUCUUUUUUUCCUUUCUUUUUCCUAUUUCCUCCCUUCUUUCCUUCUCCUCCUUUGUCCCUCUUUAUUCUCCUUCUUCUCUCUCCAUUCCCCCUAUCCCCUUCCGCUUCCUCUCUCCCUAUCCUCGCCUCCUCUUUUCCAUUCCCUCUGGUCAAGUUCCCUUGACAAACAUACACAUACAUAUAUAUAUGUUUAUAUGUAUGUAUGUCAGAUUCUGAAUUUUUAGACUUCUCUUAUCAAAUGCUAACGAAUUAUCAGUCAGUCAUUUAAUCGGAUUAAUCAUCGGGUCAAGUACUGCUAUUUCUGGGUUCGUCUAGUAGCCUGGAAGCAAUUUUCUACCAGCUACUUACGGUGCCAAAACUUGAGCUAAGGUUUGACUAAUUCGUACAUAAUGUAUAUGGUCAGCAAUCGACGAUGAAGUUAGAAUAAUAUUUACAAAACUAAAAGCAAUUACAUUAUGCUUUAAACCGUACAUAUUCUAAAAAAGAAACAAAAAAAUACAUAGAUAAAUAUAAAAACUGAAUUUGUAAAUGGUUGCAUUUCAAAUGGAUCCUCUAAUCAAAUUACAACUAUGGCCCCAGUCAGUAGUCACACAUAAUAACAAAAAAAAAGAAAAUAUCCCUCAAAAAGAUGGUGCUUUAAUGGAUUUUAAAGGUGGAAGAGGUCGCGGCCACUCACUCCAUUCAUAGGGAAGUAUCCAUAAUCCUUGUACUCGAAGAAGACGAGCAAAGUUCACCCUCGAGUUCAACUGCAUGGCUGUCCAAGUUAAAGGAUAUUACUUUCCUGUGGACAUCAAAAUAAAGGAAAUGUGGAUAAGUAGGGUGAAACGCUGCGGGGUUAUAUAUUCUCUAGAAUUUGCCGGUCCAUAAAUCUGCGGAUACUUCUCGGCUACGUCGAUAAAGGUGUUGGAAAACAAUUUGAACAAUGCUAACAAAAUUGUAAACGUAAUUUGAGGAAGUUUCAGUUGUACUAAAUAGUACUGUCCUAAAAAAUUAUUUUAUAAAGUUGAAAUAUUUUCCCAAAAUUAAACAAGCAUUCUUCUUGUAAACAAGAAAAUAUUGGAGUUCUAUGUUGUGAGUGCACUUUCCAACCUAUAGGAACAGCUGAUAUUUAUAGGCACAAAAAAAAAAAUACAUUGGGGGAAAGGAAAGAAAAGGAUAAGUGAUAAAAAUCUUAACCCACACUAGUUAUCAAUUUAACACAAGUUCAAUAUAAAACAAAAUAUUAUAAAAUGAUGAAAAGUUACUUUGAUUUUUCUAUGUGGGAUAAAAUCUUUUGAAAUAUUUAUUUAUUUGCGACAGAAGGUUUCUUGGAACUUGAUUAGCCAUUUAGCAUUUGAACAGCGAUAGUGGCUUUCCAGAGCCCAGAUACUGAAGAAUCCUCCUCGAUCCGAUAUAUAGUUACAACACAUUUGACACACCUAAAUAGUAAUACCAACAGAAGCCUGGUUCCUCAUGAGGCAAAUCUACGAGCCGGUAAUUCCUGUGUUCAACGUCGAUAGCAAAAAUCUGAGGUCCUUUGUCCAUCCAAAAGAAGACUCCAUCAAUUACAACAGCCAGCUUGCAGCAGGAGAUGAAGAAGAAGAAUGAGAAGAAGAGCAUCAAGACCUAAAAGAUCUACAUCGUCAAGGUGCUAAAACAAGUUCACCGGACGUCGGAAUCUCCAGCAAGGCCAUGGGAAUCAUAAACAGCUUCAUUAAUGAUGUUUUUGAGAAGUUGGCUCAUGAAGCUUCCAGGCUUGCGAGGUACAAGAAGAAGUCGACUAUUACUUCCCGGAAGAUUCAGACUGAUGUGAGGCUUGUACUUCCUGGUGAGCCCAAGUGCGCGUUUCAGAAGGGACAAAAGGCCGUGACAAGUUUACUAGCUCUUGAAGAUUUUGGUUGAUGCCUGAUGGUAAAUUGUGAAGUUUGUCAUUUGAUUUUAGGGUUAGGACUUCGAAUUUAGGGGUUAUUAGGUUGUGAUUUGGCAUUUAGAAGGUGUUUUUUAGAUUUAAUAUCUCGGUAUUGGCAACCUAAUACAUGGAUAUAAUUCUGGAUCUUCGAGUGCUUUGCAUGGGAUAGAAUUGUCAAAUUUUAAAUGAAGACGUUGCAGUUCGGACAAUGCUUUAGUAACGACAGUUAUGGUAACGAAAUAAUUUUUUACCUGAUAUAACAGAUAGUUGCACUUUUAAUGACCAGUUGAUUAUUUGAUAGGCCUAUCCCCUAAAUAGGAUAACACUUAAAAAUAAGAAAGUAAGUUUCUCAUCUAAAAAAGUAAGUUAACAGUAAUAAAUUAGUAACUUUUAUACUUCAAAAGGUAAAUUGGAAUAAAUAUUAAACUUACUUUUUAAAUAAAUAAAUUACUACUUUAUAUUCCAAACUUACUUUUUAGAGAGUAAGUUUAAUUUAAAUAAUAGUAAGUUUUAUACAUAAAUAGCAAUUCUUACUGAUAACAUGGUAAAUUUGAUUAAGAAUCAGAGCUUUCUGAUUUGUGGCACACAUGUACUAUUUUAUUUUAAAACAUAUUUCAAACUAGUAUUAGGAAAUUUAUUGGAAAUAAUGAUAAGAUGUUUUAUUAAUGAUUAAUUCUUAGUACCUUAGUUAAGUACUCGUAAUAUACUUGUAUAAUAUAUGAUUAUAGGUAUAAUCAAAAAAAUUUAUUUAUAUAUUUUAAAAUACUAUGAAAAAUUGUUUGACUUUUCACAUGAUCUCGUAAGAUAUGUAAUAAAAUUUUGUCGUAUUUUAAGUUUUUAAUCAUUUUCAAUUUUUGAAAAGUUUGAAAGUUUGGAUAACAAUAACAACAAAUCUUCCUAGUUAUAUAUAGAAUAUUACUUGUUUAUAUAUCAAAAUUUUUAUAAUUUAACACCUAUGAAUAUAAUAAGAUGAUAAAGUUUUCAUAUAUUUACAUCUAGGACACAAGAAAUGAGUUAAAGCCUAAACGAAAUGAGAAAUAAUAUAUUAAUAAAAGUGACAAAAUUAGUAUAACAAUUAAUAUAAGAAAAUCAGUAUGAUCUGGACUUUUUUUCAUGAGAGAUUGUUCAUAAGAAUGGGAUUCAAUAAUUAUAAAUGAAAAUCACAUGCAUAUAUAAUCUAUUGUAUAAUUUAAAUUAAAUUUAGUUCACGUAUAAAAUGGUCCUAAAAUAAUUUGUACACUAUGAUACAAUGUUAUUUUAACAACAAAAAAAAUUUUUUUACUAAAAGUUUCAAAUAUCCAUGACAUACGUAUAAGGGAUAUUUUACCAUAUUUGUAUCUCACAUCUAAUCAUUAAAGUUAAUUUGAGAAAAAUAUUUUUGACAAUAGAAUUAUUUUGAAUUUAGUCAACAAGUUGAGAUUUUUUAAACAAUAAAAGUGAAAUAUUUUGGGAACUUAGUUGUUUAUUUCUCAUAAUUAAAAUUGCUAUAUUUUAGCAAUGGUUGCCAUUGACUUUUCGUUCUAUAGACUAAUUUUUAUCAAUGUAAAAUUAGUUUUAUUAACAAUAAUUGAAGUUCCAUUGAUCCGAGGAUUGGCAUUCUAUUGCUAUUAUUUUUUAUGUAAAUAUUUAACCUAAGUAAUACAAUAAAUAAUAGCCACUUAAAAAAAGAAAAUUGGUGCUCAAUUGAUUGUGGUGUAAAAUAUUAGUAUGCAAUUAACUAGAGUUUGAAAUGGAAUUAAAUUUACUUAAUAUUUUACUGCUAACAACUUUGAGCCCAUUUAAUGGUUAAAGAAAAAAUAAAAGAGACGUAGAGAUUAGGAUUGGUUCCUUAGUGUGAAAAAGGAAAGUUCCUCUAAAAUAUUGCUGCGUGAAAUUCUGGAUGCACAUGAAAUUAGAAAUGUGAUAAUUUUGCAAUUCAUUCUCAUUCAUGAUGAAUUUCUUCGAUUCUAUAUAGAAUUGCAAUUUUUUUCGUUCAGCACGAAAAUAUUCUUUUUUUGUCAUUAUUGAUAGCUUUUGCUAUUAAGAUUAUCUACAAGUCGGUGGUUAGUAUUAUUGACAAGGUUAGAGGUCAUGGAAAAUGUUACUAAUUUUAGAAGAAAUUAUGUAUUGUAAAAAUGGUUUAAUAAAUUUCUACUAAGCAUAACUACUACAUACAAAAGGAAAAGACAUUUGAUUUUAUUUUGCUUUGAUUAUAAGAACUUGUACUAGUAAUAAAGGAAAUUUUAAUUCAACAAUCAAUGUGCACAUGCUUACAGUAAUUUUUUAGUCAAUUAGACUAAUAUAUGCUAUAAAGUAGUCAAAUUUAGUCAUUUGUGAAUUGAUAAUUUUAACAAUUUACAAAACAUUCAUCUAUAAAAAAUUAUGAUUAUUAUAAAAUGAUAUUUUAUAAUAAUUUACAUACCAUUUGCCAAUAAAAAAAUAGUUUGAUAGAAAAAAUAUGGAUACAAAUCCAUAAUGCAAAUGAUACAAAGUAUGUUUGAAAUUCACAGAACUUAACAUAUGGGUAACUUUACUAUAAUUUUCAAAGAUUAUGCUAUGUUAAUACAACUUUAAUUUUUAUACUUGUGACCCAGAAAAUAAAUUUAUUAAAUUUUACCAUUUUAUUAAAUUCAUAGGCAUUAAUAUAUGACAAUUGUGAUGUAUAAGUAAUUUGCUAUUUUAUAUACAACUCAAAAGAUUUGUUGUUAUUAUAAUACAACUUUAAUUUUUAUACUUGUGACCCAGUAAAUAAAUUUAUUAAAAAUUUUUCAAUUUAUUAUAUUCAUAGGUAUUAAUAUAUGGAAAUUAUGAUGUAUAGAUAAGUGCCAAUUCUAUAUAUAACUCAAAAGAUUUGUUGUUAUUAUCAUCCAAACUUUCUAACCUUUCACAAAUUCAAAAAUAAUUCAAAAUUUAUAAUAUGACAAAUUAUUCUUACAUAUUUUAUAAGGUCAUGUGCAAAAAAAAAAAAAAAACAGUUUUCAUAGUAUAUUUAAAAUGCUUAAAACAUAUAACAUUUUAAACGAUACGUACAAUUAUGUAUCAUACAUUUACAUUACGAGUAACUACUAACUAUAAUACUAAGUUUCAAUCAUUAAUAAAAAAUCUAACAUUAUUUCAAAUAAACUUCCUAAUACUUGUUUCAUAUAAGUUUUUUAAGUAAAAUAGUAAAUUCAUACCACAAACUAGUAGGUUUUGACCACUAACCAAAUUUACUAUUCUAUUAACAAUAUUUACUAUUAAUCUAUACAAACUUGCUAUUAAUUAAACUAAACUUACUCUCCAAAAAGUAAGUUUCAGAUAUGGAGUAGUAAUUUACUUCAAAAAAAAGUAAGUUCCAUAUUUAUUCCAAUUUACUUUUUGAGACGUAAAAGUUACUAAUUUAUCGAGUAAACUUACUAUUUUUUAUGUAAAACUUACUAACCAAAAUUUUAGGUACUAUUAUAUUUAGAUGACCACUCCAAUAGGUAAUCAAAUGGUCGCUAAAAGUGUUUUCACCCAUUAUAUCAGGUAAAAAUAGUUUCGUUACCAUAACGGUUGUUACUUCAGACUUUUCCGUUGCAAUUCUAGUUGUCGGGUCCUCCACGCCCCUCUCUUUCUAGCGUUCCUUUUUUUUUUUUCUCCUUUUUCCACCUCAGUUCUUGAACUAUUUCACUAAUGUCAAUUUCCUUCCUCAAUGUUCUUUUAGCCUAAUUUAAUUCUUCAAAUUAAAUGUCUUGUCCAAUUAAAUCCUUUAGAGCGUGAUACCAACUAAAAUCUUUCCCAAUUAAAAUCUUUCCAGCACAAAGUCACCGCCCACUUAAGGGCAAUCCAUGAAUUACAGAGCUAGGGCCAAACCUAGAACCCAAAAAAAAAAAUUUUUUUCCCAUUAAGGCAAUCCCAUUCCAUUCCCGUUAUCAACAGACCUCCUUUAGAUGGUACUACAAUAGAUAUACAAUACGUACACCAAUCUGUUUCACAAGAGGUUCUUUAAAUAUCAUACAAUUUUCUUGAAUCAGAACGUUGGAGUGGACAGUUGAUGAUACUUUUAGGAUUACUUCAAAACUUUUUUUUUUCCCAAAUUCCAACUUAAUUAGUGAGAACAUUAUCCAAUUAAUCAUAAUAUUCAUGGCUCAACUUUCAAACCCUACCCUUUUGCCCUUCCUCCUUGUAGAGUUUGAAGUUUUUAGUUGAAACCCCAAAAAAAAAAUGUUCAUAAAGUAAGCAGUCGACGGAUAAUAUUUUAAUUGUUUCCAUAUCUUGCCGAUCUCUGUGGGUAUUUCGGUAGUUGACUCCUGUUCAGAAGCGCGAAUUUGCUAAUUUACCACGUUUGACGUCGCUAAAACGAUGAAAGAAACAGGAAAAUGGAAAAGCCAAAAAGAUGGAAUGGUCGUUACGCAAGCAUAAAUCGUGUAUCGGGCCUUCUAACCCAUUCACAGCUACAUGUCUCAGCCCAAGUUGUUCACCAAGGAACAUUCCUAAUUAACGAUUAUAAUCAAGGAUUAUGCCUCUUGAUCAAUGCAAUGGCUAGUACAAAUUCUUUCCAGUUUCAUCCAUGAUAUUAACAGGCUAAAAUUCAGCACGCUACUUAGCGCAGAACAACUAGAAAUCGCUGAUCUAUAGCACCGCAAUUGUCAAAUGCAUGAACACGUAGAAUUUGGGGGAAGGGAGCAGGCACAAGCUGUACAAUAUGCAGAAAGAGCCGCAGACCGACCAAAGGAACAACAGUGGAACGUUGUACGAAGAUUUUGGAAGCAUCUAAUAGCAAUGAAAAUGAUAAUUCACAUUCACUUAACUGCAUCACACAUUACUCCCUUUGAUUCCCCUUAUUCGGUGCCUUUCUCAUUUGCUGAUUGUUUUCAUCAACUUUUUGUGCUUGCAGACAUCAAAAAGUGUCUGCUAUGGAUGUUUAAGAAGUAAGACCAAUGACCAUAAUUUUGACAAAGUGCAGCCAAAGGCAAACUUUUGGCUAAGUCUGAAACAGGCAGAAAUCAUGUAUAUCAUCUCUCAUUCAAAUCAAGAUUGCUAUUGCUAAAUUUCUUUUACCACAAACCUACUUUCAACAUUCAGGCAUGGCAUGCAGGUGCUUGUUUUGGGCUGAUCUCUGAAUGUGCAGUAAUAUUCCGAGGACUAUCCUUUUAUACCUUGUGAACGGCCACUCAAUGUAGAUUUUGUGACCAAAUAUCAAAUGAUCUUGAGACCAAACCAAUUACCAAAAAAGAUUGGAACCCAAACUACACAGCUUCUCCAGAGACAAACGAUACAAAUUGAAGGAGGCUAUCUUUCUAAGUCAAAGUUGUUGAAGAGAAAUUGAGGGGAGAUUUUUUUCUCAGUGGUUUUUCAAUUACAGGAUGAUGCAUGAGAAGUCACAACAACAUUGGAAUAAAUAAUCCUCCGCCUCCUCCUCUUCCAGUGUAUGUGUGUGCAUGGUUGUGUUUGCGUAAUGGUACAAUCAUAACUUAGCUCUGUCUCUAGGCAAUAAAGCUAAAACCAAAUGCUGGCCCUAGGCCAAAGCCAACUGCUAUUCCAGGGAAAAAAAGAAGCUGCAGAACUCUAUUCAACUUCUUUCUUGCAUCCUAUUCUGAAAAGGACCAUUCCAACAAAGUACGCAAAAAGCUUCUCCAGCACCAAUACCUAAUUGGCAAAAUUUUAUUUCAUGUGAGCAUCCCAAAGUCUUUAUCCCAAUGAUGCUAUAAGCUGAGACAUCCAAGAAGGAUUCAUUUAGGUUAUAGCUACUACCUAGCAGGCAGAUAAGCCAGCAUCUCCAGUUUUUGCCUCCUACCUUUAGUAUUAUGACAACCAAAAAUCUGUUGCAAUAACCUAUUAGACAAACCAGACUACAUGGUUUUCUCACCUAGCCACUAGAGCACUAAGUACAAUCUCAUCUUAAAUGUCCAUUGGACCUACAUGUAACAGUAGAACAGAAGUCUUAAAAGGACAUACUAACCCAGACAAAAUAAAAUGAAAGUGAUUGAGAGAGCCAUACAUUUCAGAAAGGAAUCCUAGAAUCAUAAAGUCAUACUUCAAGGACUUCAUGAUCUCAAUUUCCCCACAGGAUCAACCAUUCCAAAUGCCAAAUUGUAUUAUAUAUAGAUUACCAACAUAAGUUUUAAGCAGAACUGGGUCAAAUAUCCAUAAUUCGGGAAUAAGAAAACACAAGCUAGAAUCUUUUUCACAUGGGAGUACAGUUCCAGCACCACCCGCCUUCUUCUCCCUCCCCACCAACCACACACACCCCCCCCCCCCAAAAAUAAAUAAAUAAAUAAAAGGAUGUCCAGAUAUAUAGAUAAGAGAGCCAUGCUUUUCAGAAAGGAAUCCUAGAACCAUAAAGUCAUAACUCUGGGACUUUGCAACCUCAACUUCCUCAUAGGAUCAACAAUCCCAUAUGCGAAGGUGUACCACAUAGAGUUACCCUGAUAAAGUUUAAGCAGAACUGGUUCAAAUUUCUAGAAUGCAGGGCUAAAGAAAAUGCAGCCAGAUCUCUUCUCAUGGGAGCACAGUUGCAGCUCCCCACCAUUCCCCUUCCCCAGAUCAAAAGAAGAUCAACAUUGAAUAGCUGACCAGAUAUAUCAGUUUAAUAAACUAUUAACACUAAUUAGUAUGCUUGCAGGAUAUGGCAUUCAUAUCCUCCAAACAGUACAGACAAUCCAAACAACUAGGCAGUUUGAAAUUCAUGCAGAAUAGCAUAAACUUUCAAUAACCCAUUCCCAAUUUCUUAGUUUCAGCAAGGGGGAAAAAACUCGUCUCAAUUUCAUUAAAAAGAGAAAAUCAAGUUGCUUAGAACAAAUGGAGAACAUGAUAUGGCAUUUUCCAGCAACCAUUGCUUUAUUAAAAAUAAAGGACCAUAGACACCUACAUCAAGAUUUGAGAGCUGCCCCAACUUUAGCAAGAUCCUCUAGUGCCUUUGAGAUCUGAUCCUCUGUCAUACUAUCCAAACGUAUUCCUCUUUCAACUCCAAAAUCUAGUCAUACACAAAAAGAUCCAUAAGCAAUAGUAAAGCACAAAUAAGAUGUGACCAAAUUACAAACAAGACAAAGAUACGCAACGCAAGAGGAAUUAAAGUAGGUUACAACUAUUUCAUAAUAAACUAGUCUUCUUCCUAAUUGUUGUAUCAAACACUUUAAACCAAAUUGCAUGCACUAACCAUCCAAAACGUCCAAGUUGAUUUCUCCUAACAAUCCCAAAAAUUUGGGAAACGUGUCACAAAUGCCAUUAGGUCAACUACCUCUUUUAUUCACGGAGCAAACGAAAAUCUGAACUCUCUCAAAAGUCGGAAUCUUUAGAAUGCCAAGAUCAAUUGCAGGACAAGUUGAGCUUCCUAGAUUCUCCACUUCUACAUCAACAUAGUGACGAAAACGGGCUACUAUUCCCCUAUGACGUUUUUUGUUAUAUCUAAAUUUAUCAUUUUUUAAAAAAGCUCAAACUUAUCAUCGCAUUCCACAGAAAUCUAAAGUUGGGAGACAUAAAUAGAAAUUUGAAGGGGUAAAAAGACAUACCAAAUCUAGCCCAAAGCUGAGGCUCUGUAUUAUCGGCCUCCCGGAUCAAAAUCGGAAGUUUGGGAUUGAGUUUCUUAAGAUCCUUGUAAUUCCUUUCAAUGAAUACUCUGUGAAUGAUGCAUCCGAAACCAUUAUUGAGAGGGAAAAGGGGGAAAGGAAACUUAAGCCGACGGAAAUACUAAACAAAAUAUAUUGUACGAGAAGGAAGCCUAACAGUGGUACCUUGUUGAAGAGCUGGCUGGAGCCGAUGGGGAGAAGAGGAUUCGAAGCUCCUUGAGAUUCUUUGAGAGAUUACUCCUCCACGCCAUUUCUUUUCUGUAUUUUGUUUGUUACAGCGUCGAUGAUGUAAUUUUGAUAGUAAUUUUUAGGUUCCAGAAAGGCUCUCCAGUGACGAGUAGUAUGUUUUGUGAAUUGCAGAAAACCCCCUCCACUAAAUACCACUACUCAGGGAGGCCUCUCGAAUUUUAAUUGUCCCUCAACCCUCCUCGUCUUUUUUGUUGCUCAAGUUUGUUAAAUUAUAAGUAGUUUCAUCUACAAAUUCAUCCCUUAGCUAGUUGUGAAAUUGUGACGCAAUCUUAAAAGGGAAAAGUUGUAGGCAAUUUAGUGUUGAAGAUUUUUUAGUAACAAUAGUGGAUUAACAAAAUUAAGCAGUCAUUUGUCUAUUAAUUAAGAUUUAACAUCACUCAUUAUAAAUAAAAUUGAAAAUAAAUUAAGUAAGGAAACCACACUUCAAUCAUCCGUUUCUAUAAAAAGCUUUAUUAGCUUUUUGAAUUUUCCAACCACCUAUCUCAUAUGCUACUACAAUUUAGUUUUGCUAUAAAAAUUUACAAAAACUCCCCACGUAGAAGGUAAUGAAAUAGAAAUAAGUACCUUCUCAAAUAAAUGUGGAAUUGUUAGACAAAAAAACUAUGCUAAGGAAAAUAACUUUCAUAAAUUUGAUUAAAUGCUAACUGCAUAUGCAGAUAAUUUCUUAUUUAAACAACUUAAGAGUAAAAGUCGAGUUUAAGAGUACAUGAAGCAAAAAACAAUUUAAUCAAUACGCACAUAAUUUCUUUGUAACAUUUUCUUACAUAUAGAGAAAAACAUUUAAAAAUAUUUACUAUAAAAAAGUAUAUUCUCAAUAAAAUAUGGGGAGUAGAUUUUAAAAAAACAUUGUGAAUUUAGUUUCUUUCUUUUUACAAUGCAAAUUAAAUAUUAGCUAUUUUGUAACAAAAUCAAGAAGCAUAUACCAUGUACAUUAAUAAUAGGCUAUUCAGUACUAACGUAAUUGGUGAAAUCCAAAAAUCAACCUCAAAAAACAAGAGGUAGAGAGAGAGAGCUUAUAGUGCGCCUAAAAGGAAAUUCUGAUAAUAUAAUGGUUCACCGAACAAACUUCAGGACUAACUGGUAAUUUGGAAAAGUUGCACGCUCUUUUAUUACCGAUUGCUCCACUCUUAGAACCCCAGAUGGCCAGAAGAGGUCUAGAACUAUUUGUAAGCAGUAAGUGAUAUGCUCUCUCUGUCUCUAUAUUUCUGCAACACUGGCGAAUUUGGGUUUCUUUGCUUAUACUCAUUAUGCUCUUUGUACGGAAGUUUCUGGUAGAGUUAAGAGUCGUCUGUUGCUAGAUGUGUAUAGUAUAUUCUGGUUUUUCGAUGUAUUCCUGAUUUUGUUGGUUUUUUGGUAGGAUUAUCAUUUUACACGACUGCUGAAGAAUUGAAGAGUCUGUUUUCACCAUUCGGUCUGGUUACGCAAGGUGAUUUGGAUAGCUUUUAGUAGCUUACUGAAAAAGAUUGGUGAUUUUUCUGCUAUAUCUCGUUUUUUUGAGGGAUUAUUAAUUGACUUUUUUUUUUUUACCUGAACAAGUGUUUUGAAAGUUUUUUCAAUUUUGGUAAAGGAUUGAUAUUUUUAUAUAAAAAUCCUAUGCAGUUCCCAUUAUGAGUCAAUAAUUGUUUCGGGUUGAUGCUGUGUAACUGAUGUAUGCAGCUAGGCUUGUUAUUGACCCAAUAACGCGAAGGACUAAAGGGUUUGGAUUUGUCCAGUUUGAUUCAGAAACUGAUGCUCAAAAUGCGUUAAAGGCAAUGAAUGGCAGGGUAUAUUUUCUUUUUUAUCAUAGCUAUACUUAUCUGUGCCAAUUCAUGCGUUUCAUUACAGAAAUGCUUCUGUUAAUUUCUGUGAUUAAAAUGAUUAUUUCUUUCACUUGAUUCAUUAGGAUUUCUGUUUGCUUUUUAUUAUUAAUCGAGGUCUUUCUUAGUGGUAUAAAGUUUAAAGCUUUCCUGUUAGGCACAAUGUAAGAGGUGAAGAAAGAGCAAUUCUUUUGGAUUUUUAUGAAGUUUAAGGGUCAAAAUGUAAACUUGGAGUCUCGAACACUUUGCUGAAUGUACUCUUGGGAUGUAAACAAGUGGACAGAGCUGUAUGGAUUGGAUAGACUCUGUUAAAGAAUGUGUAGGUCAGCAAUGCCACCAAUUAGUGUGCAUCCUUGUGUCUAAACAUGAUUUGAUGCUCCCGAUGCAUCAUGCAUUAUUGUCCUUAAGAACUGAAAAUCAUCAGAGAGAAGCAUGGGACUUAUGAUUUGGUUGAAUUCUCCCAAGUUUUAUGUGACAUUUCCAUUGUUACCUGUCAUAUCCUCAUCAUGUUAUCUUAAUCUAUUUUAAAUUUGUCUUCAGCAAAAACAAAUUCUUUUUAUUGCAAUCAAAAUAGAUGACUAAAAGUCAUGAUUUUUUUGGCUAUUCGUUUCCAUGAGUAAACUACUCAUGCCUUUCACAAGUUAAAGCUAGAAGCAUAAUUUUAUGAGUUGAGUGCAUGUCAAAUAAGAAGUUUAACCAGUGAUGAUUAUUUAAAGCAGCAGUUGACUUUUUCAUUAGUUAGAUAAUUCUCAGAGAUACUCAUGGAUAAGUUUUAUAGCUAAUACACAAGUAGAUUCUACUAAUCCAACUGCAUUUUUGUUGUUACCAUAGAAUGUCAGGGGUGGUGGAUAGCUAAGGAAGUAUGUAAUUUUGAUAUGUAAUUGCAGAUAGUGAAUGGCAGACUGAUUUUUGUUGAAGUUGCAAAGACCACAAGAUCUGAAAAUCAGACAUCCUGAGACUUAAGUUCUCGCGUGCAUUACUUCUACGGAUCUGUAUAAGCAGGCUAAAGCUCCAAAUGUCAAUGGCAAUGGGAGAACUCUUGACUUUUUCUCAAUCCUCUUUACUUCUACUGCCUAAGUGUCAGCUCCAACAUUCUCUGCGAGCAUGGAAUCCCGCUGCACAGAAUCUAGCAUCAACAUUAGCAGUUUCCUCUGGGCAUUUCUUAGCAACGAAGUUAGUGUUAUCUCCAAUUAAGUGUGUACCAAAAAAACACGUUUUUGGGGGGAUUAGAGCAACUGUCAUCUCAGAUUCUAAAAUGCCUACUACUUUCACAGUCGAUUCAGCUGGGGAAGGGGUUGAUGUGCUACCAGACACUGGAGGGGGUGGAAAUGACUUUGGCAAUGCAAGUGGUAAAGGAGGAGGUGGUGGUGGAGGCAAUAAUGGGGUGAUAGUAACGAUAGCAAUGAGAGUGAAGGGGAUUCAGGUGAAAGCAAGGAUGAAAACCUUGGGAGCAGCAAGAAGACUGCACUUUCCAUGUCUCAAAAGUUAACAUUAGUCUAUGCUUUCUUGGUAGGAGCAGGUGGACUCAUGGGCUAUUUGAAAAGUGGCAGUCAGAAGUCAUUGAUUUCUGGUGGACUAGCAGCCUCGCUACUGUAUUAUGUCUACACAGCUCUUCCUACAAAACCUGUUUUUGCUUCAUCCCUUGGUUUUGGGUUGUCUGCUGCUCUCUUGGGAAUGAUGGGUUCUCGCUUUAAAAGAUCAGGAAAGAUUUUUCCAGCUGGUAUUGUCUCGCUUGUGUCCCUUACAUGACUGGGGGCUAUUUGCACGGAAUAAUGCGCACUGCACACUAAUGAUGUUUAAGAUGCAUAAACUUGUUAGGUUUUCCUUAUGUUUUGCUUGUUGCGAGGUUUGUGAUCUAUGACCGUAUUUGUUACCAUCUUGUUCAGGUACUUAAUGUUUACUUUUUUGCAAGAGUUUUAAUGUUUGAUUCUGGUUGGAUUACCUUAUAAUCUCCAGAAGAGCAGACGUUAGUUUCUUUUACCUUAGAAGGGAGUAGAUUUAGGUUCACAAGUGGGAAAUCCCUGCUGUUUCAAGGGAAGGGGGAAGUUGGAUUUGCAGGUUACUUUGGUCGAUCACUUGCCCUUGAAGCAGAAACUUUCAAAAUUAUUUUGAAGUGCUUGUCAUGUUUAGUUUCUUACAGCUUAUGAAUAAAUUGACCUAUCAACAUCUUUGUCCAAAAACUUGAGUUGGCGGAGGAAAAUGCCUCUCUGGCCUUACUCGAGCUUCUGAGUGUUUAAAGCUUAAACAUGGUCUGCUGCUGACAAGGGCUUGAAAUGAAGGGAGUUCCGAAUAGACUUUUGUCUGCGCAUUUACCUUAGUCCAUUUCUAGCUUGGAACGUUCAAUGAAGAAUUUCCGAACGCGUACGUAUACUCGACUUAGACCCGAGAUAAUUCUCGUCCUGGGUGAGGUUUCAUUGCGUGUUGCUACACUCGGAUGGUGAACUUUGCCACGAUUGGUUAUCUUUAAGGGCCAAGGCCCGAAGCUUUCAUACGAUGGAUUCAAGAAAUAUGUAACCCCUCAAAAAGGGAAGAAGAUAAAAAUUCAAGAAGUCAAGUCUCUCAGCAGGUACUGUACUGUACAUGGAAGAUCCCAAUGCAGGCCGACUUUUCUUGAGCAGUUGGGUUCCACCCGGGACUCCUUUGGAGGAAAUGGUUUCUUAAGAAUCGAAUUGAAGUGGGUCUAGGUUGGGCUAGCAUUUUUUGAGUUCGAUGUCGACUGACAGCUGAAAAGUCUGAUUCAGAUCCAACAUGAUUAAAGCCCAUCUCCAAGCCCGAAAUUCUCCAUUUCUGCUGCGGCAUGCAACCCAUAUUUGAAUUUUGAAGUUACUCCCCUGCUUCUUCUCAAGGACCAGGAAGUAUAGUUAACUCCUCCGGCAACUUUGAAAAUGUUCAUGCCUCGCCAUCGGCGAUACCUAUUCGCUUUCAAUAGCUUUUUUCUUUAAUCAGAAUACAUUUUCAUUGAGACAUUUUUUCUUUUCUUUUUAUUUUUGCCCACACAUUUUUUGUCCUUUUAAAACUCACACUUGGGCAAACCCAACUUUUAAAGAAUCAAUGAUCCAAAUCGUGUCGCGUCAUCUUAAACAAAUGGUAUAACAGAAUCAGAAUCAUUGGAUCAUUGAAGUCUAUCCAAGUUUUGGCCUCCUUCUAACAGCCUGAGGACAGAAUCUAAUCAACAUUGACAUGUGCAUACAUUACUUGUGCGGUUGUACCAAUCCAAAAUAAUUGGUUUGUGAAAGGCUUGUACCGUGUGCGUUAAAUUCUUGCAGGUCCUACAGUGGUACCAACAUUGGGUGUACCAAGUGUUCUCAAUAUUCUGGAUCAGCUCGAGAAUUAACACAUGCGAACAAGCCAUUACAAAAUUAAGUGAAGAAUUCACAUGUGGCUUAACAUGAAAUUGUACCAUGGAGUAAACAAGGCCGAAGAGCAUCAGGACAAACGCACGGACUUGACCUGAACAAGUUCACCGAAGGUGACAAGUCAGAGCAGAACUGGGAUACCAGAAGACGUAGCAUUGUGUAAUUUGACGAGGCUCCAAAAAGAUUAGCCGGGAAAAUAUUUGAGUUUUAAAGUAUUAUAACACUGAGAAUAAAACCCGCCCACCAUCCCCACCCUUUUCCCAAAAAAAAACACCGGAUGCAACCGAGGAGAAUCACCAUAUACCAAGUUAAACAUACAGAGAACUGGAAUCUUUUAUCUUAUCCACUCAAAAGCCAAGACAGGAGAACUAUCCUGAUCGUAUUCACGAUUCAACAACAAAGCAUACAGAAAUCAAAUAAUGAAUUCACUUCUCAAAUCUCUCUUAGUGGAUAACAUCUUUUCUCAGUAACAGACUGACUGGUGAAUGCCAGAAAAGGUUAUGAUCUCACAGUAUGUACAUUUGUUUCUUGGUAGGAAUAAGUUCCCCAUACACUCUAGUUCAAUGAAAUUUUCCAGAAAAUUGUCUCAACGGAAAAAUUGGCACAAGAUUAUCACAUGUACUCGUCACAAGCUAGAACAAAAUCUCUAGUAAUACUCAAAUUUAGAUGAUUGUCGUUAUAGGCCACCACCAUGCAAGCAUACAAGGAGAGAUGCCAGUGACGAAUUCUUCUUCUCAUUGCUGAGAAAGCAGACAAUAUUUAAAUCAACAAAUGAUUCACCAUAGACCGAAUCCUUUGCCUUCAUCUUUUGUGAACACACUGAACACGGAUAUUUCUACCAUCCAAUAUCUGAAAAAGGAGCAUUAGGAGACUAAACUUGAACUGAAAGAAAGGUGCAAGCUCACACACAGAACUAUGCAAUACUACAAAAAAACAUACCUUGUCAUUCAUUUCCUUCAAGGCGUUGCUCGCUGCAAUCUCUGUAGUGAAAUGCACAAAUCCAUAUCCUUUUGACUUUCCACUCUUAUGAUCACAUAUUACCUUCACUGUCAAGCACAUGGGAUCAACUCUUAGACUAAAUAAAGUGAAGGACAAGAAAAGACUACAAUCAAGGAUACAGCAUAUUGCCUUCAAUAAUUUCUCCAUGCAUCUCAAAAGCAUCCUUCAGAACUGUUUCAUUGGUGUCGUAAGACAGCCCUGCAACCAAAUGCAAAGUAUUCAACUAUACAUUGUCUGGAAAGGGAGUAUGUAUCCUCCUCAUGGCCGCAAACCAAAAUACAAAAUGACACAGAGGAAGAAGCGAAAGAAUAACAAAAGACUCCACUAAUAACCAUUUGAAUCAUAUGUUUCAAUCAAUAUGAUUGAUCAAAGGUUAUGUCACUAUCUAUCAUCAAGGAUUAUUCACUAGUGUGAUGCCGACCUAAUUCAACGACCAAUGAUCAUAGCUUAAAGUCAAUCACCAAAAUCGUAUUGUAGAGUUUUCCAAAUGUUCGCUCAUCAGCCAUGACUGUAUGGACGUUUGUGAGGGAGAAAAGAAUCACGUGUAAAAAAUGAGAAUGUCUGGCCCCGCAAAUAGUUUCAGAAAGGAAUUAGGAUCCAAAAAUUUUCCUUUGAAAUAGUCGCAUUAAGAUUUCAUUUUGGAAAUUGUACAAGGAUGAUAAAUGAUCUAAUACUACUGUAACUUCACCUAGAUUCUAACAUUCUGCAUUAAAAUAGCAUUUGACAAAACAGUUCAUCAUUUCCCCGAAAAAGGCAAUAUUUUUGUUGAAGCCAUUUCGUUAGUGCGGACUCUAUUUAUCUCCACAGGUAGAUAGAUGCCAUAUCCCUUCAUCUUCUCAGGUUAGUGCUGCAAUACUUGAGUAACCUUGUACAUAGUGCAACCAUGCUAGCAGCAUCACGUGAAGAAGUCAUUGGAACAUUUUCUCAAACAUAUGGAAUGCUACCCAAUAGAGCACUAAUUAGAUAUGCACGAAGCCACGUAUAAUAAUCGGAGAUUAAAAGCAGCAUCCAACAAAGAGAGAAAGAGACCUCCAACGAACAAUUUAGUGGAAGAGGGACGAGAGAGGAGCCAUCGCGCCAUCGGAGAUGUAUACGUGAACCGGGCUCCUUUCCAUAUUUGCAUAUUAUUUCCCCCCUUUUUUUUUAUAUAUUCCCUCGUCGUCGAUAUUCUAAUGGCCUGGAAAUACGGAUACACUUCACUGUUAAAGAAAAGCUAAUGCUAUGACUUAACUAGAAUUAGGAGCUCUGACAUUGACGAAAAUAUGUCGCCGCUUUCACAACCUUCUCCCCCAUUUUAUUUUCUUUUUGGUGUCUCUUAAGCCUGGAUUUCGCCAUUGGGCCUUUAUUUAUUUAUUUAUUUGCUUACCGGUAACAAAAAUUCCUUAUGGUUAUGAUAUCAGGAGCGGGGAGAGGACUUUAGAGCGCAGGAUUACGGAUGGGCAGGGACGGGCCUCGCCCCAUUAUCACCUCUUGUUGAAAUGGGCUUUCAUGAAGUCACUAAAGUGUUAGUUCGAUGCCAAUUGUCAUUCAAAAUAAUUUUGUAUGUUAUUUUUAUAUGUUUUCAAUUAAAUAUUUUCAUGAAGUAAAAAUUAGUCUUAGUUUAAGGGUCCAUUUGUUUCAAUUGAAAAUUUUUUUUCCGAAAACAACUUCCUUGAGCUCCGGUGUUUGAUUAAAUUAUUGUUGAUGAAAAUAUUUUUCUGCGUAAAAUAUUUUACACCUCAAGGUGUAAAGUAACUUCCAUAAAAAGACUUGCUAAAAUUGCUUUCUAUCGCCUGCAGCCAUUGCCCAUUCUCACACAGCGAACACCUACCUCUUCCACGGUAGAUAGCUAACUCUUCGAUGACAGAGAAAGACAUAAAUGGAGAAAGAGAAAUCAAGAUAAACUGCAACCUAGGAAGAGAGAAAGAAAGGACAGAUCAACAGUCGGAAAGAGAAAGCCACCAUGAGCCCAAUAGUGAAGGUUGCAACGGAAUAGAGCCACCUUGUGCUUCGAUGUUAACGCCAACGGUGACUUUUCAGCAAAUAAUCAAUUUUGUGGAGUUUUACGUUGGUGGUGAUGUAGCAUGCGAAGGAGAUUACAAGUGAAGGGAAACCACGAACCAUAAGGCCCAGUUUGAUCUAAUGGUUAUUACUUGUUGAGAAUAUGACAGGGAGAAACACCUCAAAAGAAUCCAUCAAAUAACCCAAUAUGUAAGUCAGAAAUUCAACUCUGACCCAAAAACUUAAACUAUUAGAUUUUGGAUCCUUAUUUACAUAUUAACCGUUCUUUCUCCAUCCCUCUAAUUAAUGUAGGACACAACCAUUUACUCAUGAAUCUAACAAAUCUCUCCCUUCAUGAGUAAUCCUCACAUUAAACCCAAAUUUACUAAUCAUUUUUCGAGUCCACUUUAAUACUCAAUGUAAGUCCAUCUUUAUCACCAAAGUCACAUCUUCUCUCAAAUAUAGACCCACUCUUCUUCAACAUCCAAACUGCAUUCUGCACCCCUGCCAACCCUUGGUUUCUUGGUCUAACAUUAACCGAACCCCCUGCCAAACCUAUGGUACACCUAGUCCAACACCAACCAAACUUCUUGACACUUCGGUCCACCAUUAAGAAGAGAAUUUUUACCUGGUCCAACUCCGAGAAAAAUAUACUUGCCCAUGAAUAGCCCAGUCUCACAACCUGAAACUCUAAUACCAAUUUGAUAAGGAGAAACACCUCGAGUGAGUCUGCCAAAGAGCCCAAUAUGUAAAUCAGGAACCCAACUCUGACCCAAAAACUUAACCUAUUAGGUUUUGGACCUUUAUUUACAUAUUAAUCGCUCUUUCUCCAUCUCUUGGACCAAUGUGGAACACAAUCCUUUACUCAUAAAUCUAACAGAAUAAUGUUUUCAAAAAAUUAAACCAAACACAAGAAAAUAAUGAAGAAACCAAAUAUUUUCUUGGAAAAUUACUUUUAAGGAAAAUGUCAUCCCAGGGAAAGCAUUUUACACCCUACCAAACAGACCCUAAAUAACAAAUGUUUUCCCACCAAAAAGAAUUUUUACCGCUUAAAUUUUUAAUGAAGGAUAAGCUAAUCGUUUCAUCAAUUACUUAGAUGAAGUUAAUUUCUUCAUUUUGUAAUUUAUCAAGAGUGUAGAGUGCCAAUUAAAAUACUUUAAAGUGUAAAGUACAACUAAUAUAAUAUUUCAUGGAGACUUUUAGCAUUUAAUCCUUUCUUUUAUUUUUGGAUUUAAUUAUGCGUAUUUGUAACUCGCUAUUACUCCAUUUGGUCACACAAUUAAACCAGCAUGGUAAUUGAUCAUCGAUGAUUUGUUACAAGCAACUGCUUCAAGAAUUUAUCAAACAAAAAAUUAGUUUAACCAUUUACAUUUCCAGCCAUGUAGAUCGGGGAGUGAUCUAGGAAACGGACUAAUAAUUACUAUUUGUCACUGGUCCAAUUAAACUCGAAAAAGAUAGUAAAAAAUUAACGGCGAAUGGCUUCAGUGUGUUUCUUGAAUCUUUAAUAGAUGAUAAGAAUUACUUGAAAAGUGUAUACCAAUUCACCACCCGUUUUUUCUGCAUGACGUCAUCAACUUUGCGCUUCAGCCUUUGGUGACCUACUUCAUCUCAGUUUGUUUUGUCUGCUAACUUUUCUUGAGAGCUCUAAUCUUCUUUUUAGUAGCUUGAUGUUACCUGAUUUCCUUUAUUUUUAUUUUUAACAUUUUAACAUCCUCCAUGAGACCGUUGUCUUCUACACACACUAUUCAUGGACUAGCCAACUGCGAUAAUGGCGAAAGUGAUUGCCUCUUGUACUGAAAAGAAAAACUGUGUAAAACCACUGCUAUUUUUAGAUUUCUUGGGCUUUUGCUAUGCAGAGUUUGUACUCUCUGAUGACCGAUUCAUUUUUUUUAGAUUUCCUUCACCAGCUAGCUUCUUGGGUUUCAUGGUUAUGGAUUUUGCCGGUAUCUCACAUUGUUCAUGUUUCUCAGCUAUUGCUGCUCUUGAAUCCGUACUUCUACCUCCGAUAGUAGAUUUUGUUUCUUUUUUUGAAAAAUUUACUUCACCGGGUAGCUUUUUCACUAUAGAUUGAUGUGAUUUUGCAAACAUUUUUGGAUUCUUGGAUUCAUCACCAUGAUUCCCAGUGCAAGUAUUUGUGUAGUUCUCGGUUGAAAUAGCAUUUUAACUUGAAGAGUUUAUAGCAAUUAUAUCUUUCUAGCGAUAUCCAUACGGACUUAUAGACAAAGUCCAGCAAAAGGCGGUUCUUUUCCAUCUUACGGAAAUAGCGAUUUGUACAACUAUGAUGGUAAAUCUUCAUGACAAAUAGAUGUAGAAAACACCAUAAAUGGAGUGAAGGCUGUUAUCAAGGCUAAAAUAGAGAAAAAUAAAAAGAGAUAGAUAGUUCACAAUUUGAUGGGUUUUUGUGAUGGUGAAGAUGGUAACGUGGGUGUUUUAAAAAAUGUACCUGCUAUGCUGGAGCAUUGACAAAAGUAGAAUAGACAAAGAAAAAAGUGAGAAAAAUGAAGAAAACUAAUAGGGGUAGGCUGUGCUAUGCACAACCAGUGCCCAUUGGAAAAUAUUCAUUGGCAGUAAUUGAUGAAACAAUAGCUUUGUAGUAGUAGUUAUAUUUUUCAUAGGAAAUAAUAAGUUGUUUUGUUGAAUAUAUUAGUAAUUGCAUUUUAUAGAAAGUGAAUUCACAUUUGUUUCUUUUGGUUUGACAUGUAAAUACAAAUGUGUAUUGUUGGAAAAAUAUGUUGAUUUCUAUAAAAAAUUUUAGAAUGUUUAAAUACAAAUGUGUAUGAUUGGAAAAAUAUAUUGAUUUCUAUAAACUUUAGAAUGUUUUUUGUUUUAAUAAUGUUGUAUUGACGAUAAGUUAUUGAAGAAGAAGCUGCACAUCUUGUGUCAUUUGUUUUAUGAAAAUGACCAAGAAGGAAGCUAUGAGAACAAACAAAAUGAAUAAAGCUUCAAAACUUUAAUCUGCUUUGUCAAAUAUACCUUCUGAGUUUGCUAUUGUCAAAAUUUUCAUCUAAAAGACAGUUAACGAUAAGUAAACUAUUCCAUUGAAUCAUGGUCCAAUCUAAUGGUAAAUGUAUGAUAAAAAUACAAAAAAUAAUUGAUCGAGUGGUAGAAAUUUAUACACAGAACAACCUAAGUGUUAGGUAAAUGGUAGGCAUCCAAUUAGGCCUGUCAACGGGUCGGGUCUGGACCCGGAUCCGGACCGGAUCCGUGAAAUUAUUGCGGGUAUGGGUAGGGAUUUAAUUCCGUUUUCCGGAUCCGUUUUGUCAAACAAAAAACGGGUCAGAUACGGAAUAUAGCAUUUCAACCCGUAUUAGACCCGGAUCCGGAUAUAAAUGAAUUAAUAAUUUAAAAUAUAUAUAUUUAUCAAUAUAAUUUGAUUAGGAUGAUGUAUUUGAGUAAAGUCAAUUUGAUUUCUUUUCUUAUUUGAUUUUUUCUUUGCAUUAGUUAGAAAUUAGUUUACAAAUAUAUUUUUUUCUCAUUUUUAUUAGAAAUUAUAAAUUUUGCUAAAUUUGUGCGGGUAAAUCCGACCCGGAUCCGGACCCGCCGGAUCUGGAUCCGAAACAUAGAAUAAAAGACCCGUCGGGUAAACGGGGUCGGAUCCGAUUCCGGUAUAAUAAUUCGGGUCCGGAUCCGGAAUAAUGAAUUCCGGCCCGUGACAGCCCUACAUCCAGUAAUAGAUCGAAGGAUGUAAAACAAUGGCCUAUGAUUUAUAAAGAUUGUAAGAUUAUUUGUACAAGAAAAAAAUGGAAACCAGGAAUGAGAUGUAUAAAAGAGCGGCCAACUGUUUUGAAGUUUACCAAGGAAUAAUUUUAGAAACAUUCCCUUAAAUUUCUGACAAUCUUACUAGUCUCCCCUUAAGUUUGUAAAAUUAUACAAAUCUCCUUUGAAAUUAAAAUUUUGAUAACAAAGUUAGUUCAAUUAGAAAAAGUAAUAUUAAAAAAGUACUUUAAACAGAGAGAUGAACUUUUAUUUCAUAAAUAUCCUUUACGCAUGCAUAUAAGUUGUAUUACUAAAAGAAUGAAAGUAAUUAAAAGUUAAAAAUAAUUAAUACACACAUUUUACCACUCAUGAAAUUCACAUUCAAUAAAUUAGACAACACAAAUAAAUAACAAAAUUAUACUAAUGAUUUCAAGAUUCAAUAAAAUAGACUAAUCAUCUCUUUUGACAUUAUGUUUGCUAUAAUUCUUAUGAUUUUAAAAAGAACAAAUUUUUAAAUUUUGUCUCUCUUUCCCUCCUUUCUCCUUUAUUAAUAUCUAAUGAUUAAGUAAUUAAAGUACUAAUUAACAAAAAAAUAUUAAAAAAAAUUUAAUCAUGAACGAUGACUUGUAAUUACAAACUAUAUCAAUUGAUACAUCUAAUGGCACUAUUUUGUGAUUGAUAGAAUUUGACGAUGACCAAAAAUCAAUUGUACACAAUAUAAGAAGAAUGGUUUUGGUAGAAUAACAAAUUCAAGCAAAAAAAUUAUUCAUAAGGAUUUUUUUUUUUGAAACUCUUAAAACUGUAACAUUUGUAAAAUAAUUUUGUGAAAGUAAAAGAGAAAGGAGGAAAAGUAAAAGGCAAAAUUUGAAAAUUUUUCUGUUUAAAAUCACAAGAAUCAUAACAAAUAUCAUGAUAACAAAUCAUAACAAAUAUCGAAUAAUUCAAAUAAUUUUAUUAUUUUUAUAAUAUAUUUAUUUUGAUUAUGAAAUGACCAAUAUGAAUUUAUAAUUCAAAUAAUUGACACGAAAUUUUGUAAUUUGAGUUUUCAGGUACUUGAACUCGAUAAGGUUUAAGAACUAUAUCGAACCUUAUCGAGUCGAAUUUGAGCUUUGGUAUUUUUUUUCUUUCAAGUCGAAUCAAGCUACACAAAUUUUUACUCGCUCAAGUUCGAGUUCGAGUUCGAGUUCAAGUAUGCGUGCUUAUCAUCGAAUUCAAGUUCGAACAUAUCACUGCUUGAAUUCCACUCAACUCGUUAUCACUUCUAAAGUGAACAAGUUUUAGUGCAAUAUAUGCAUCAUUGACUGACCAAACUAGCUGUUGGCUAUCGCAUCCAAUGAGUUGCAUCCUGAUUUUUGUCCGUUCCUUACAGGCAUCCUGUUUGGAAGUUUCAAUACUAUUUACAUAUCAAAAUACAUAAAAGAAUUUUAAAAAAAAAAACAAAAAGUGUUCGGGGUUUGGCAGAAUCGGUAAUGAGGCAGAAAGGGAGAAAUACUUUCUGAUCUUUUCUGUCUAUAUACACAAAUGUUCAAGAUUUAACUGGCAUUUGUGAACACCAGCACGUACAACAUACUAAAUCCAAGAAGCUGCUUAACACUUAGUUGAAAUGAUUGAUCCAUAAUGCAUAUUUUCCACGUUUAAGUUAUUCAAAUAUUGUGAACGGUAAUGGCAUAGCAAGAGAGGGAUUUGAAAGGAGAACCAAAGGAUAUUGGAAAUGUUUGAUUCACAAACAAGGUUUUGCAUUGCUUUGGCGAACAAAUGUUUCAACAGGUUUUGAAAAUUUCCGAGAGGACCAUGAACCUGGUCGCCGGAUCCUGACUUCUAUGACUUUAAUUGAACGAGGGGAAAGCUGGAAUAACUCUUGGAUGUACCUGGUUGCCGGGUCUGAUUUUAAUUGAACGAGGGUAACGCUGAAUAACACUUUAUAUCCAUCCAUGAUCCACCCAUACAAAAUGAGCAAUUCAUGAUUUAAAGAUUGAGCAAAACCUCUCUGGCUAUUCUAUCCGAUUUUGAAGCAAAUUGUGAAACAGAUCACGAAACCAAAUUUGCAAGUGAGAAUCCAUUCCUCCUGUAGAAGUGCUUUCAGAGAUACUUGUGUAUCGCAAAGCAAACAUGUACAGUCCUUCCAACCGCCACCCCCCCCCUAACCAAAAAAAAGACCUCCAAAACCCACAAAAAAAAAAACACGUAAGAGUGAUUUAAUACCAUUGCUUGGCCUCUAAGAACAAAAUUUAAUCGAAUCACAGAUAGAAUUUCUCCCUUAAGUCAGCAUGAAACAGAGAGACAGCUCUCAAAAGAACUCGAGACAACCACUCAACUCCUUUGCCUAGGUAGCUAGCUCGGAAAUUAUACAUACAGAACUAACUAGCGGAAAUUUAUCAGUUGUAGGUAAAGAAAACCGAGCGUGUUUGAAUAAUAAAUUAUUUGAGAUAAUUUUAUAAAAAAAUAUAAACAUUUUUAAUAUGAAAUAAAAAAAUAAAAAAUAUAUUCAUGAUGUAAAUAAAUCAAUGUGUAUAAAUAAAUUGUACAAUAACGUGUAGUCCAACCAAACCAUAUUGGGGAAGAACCCAGAACUGCAAAUAGCUGAAUGCUUAUUGAUUCAUCUAGUUGAAGCUUCAUAUAACAACUAACUAUCCUUAAUAGUUCAAAUCUCAAGUUCCCAAAUUUAAACAGGAAAAUAAAAAUCCAUGAAUCCACGUGAUUACUUUAAGAACCAUGACCAAAAGUCAGUAAAUACCAAGAUCCAAAACCAACAAAUAGAUUAACUCACCAGCAAACAUAUAGCAGAAACAAGUGGUUUCAUUCAUCAAUAAUGCAGCUGAAAUACACUAGACACCAGAACUAUGAAUUACAAUAUGACCCUGUGAUCUAACUCUUCCUUAUCGAAACCAAAGACAACUUCUAACCCCACAAUUAGAUACAACUGAAAACUAAGGUCAAUCAAAAAGAAAAAAAUCAGAAGGAUCUAAGCAGCAGCAGCCUUCUUAGGGGAUUUGGCAGCUUUGGAUGGAGAUUUC
rnacentral:lncRNA from 1 species